AAUUAUCCACUGUAAACCUAAAACCCUAGAACUGGGUCCUGUGCCACUUAUACAUCUGCUGCCUCUGCCUCUGCAAGUAAAACAUCUGUCUCUGUCCUUAACGAGGCUAGACCUCUGGCAACAAAUACAGAUGCGCUAGCUAUUAUUUACUAUGGCCGCCCCAUAAAAAGACUUAUACUAACCGAGCUACAAAUUAUGUAUUAGGGCCAGCUCAAUAGAUCUUACCGCUUACUAGUAAACUACUAGAUGCGCUACAUCGUACCCUAUUCUUCCCUAUUCAUUGAAUGCGCUAGCAAUGUAGUAUUAGGGCCCAACUCCCUUUCCUAACUUAGGAACUGUAACUGGUGAUGAAACUUAUACUUGCCCUCCGAUUUGAUUGAUUUCGUAGUAGGAGUGAAAGGCUUAAAUAAGAGCAUAAGAAUCUGAGAUUGGACUCAAAGCUAAGAGCAAAGCGUAUACUAGUAAGAGGCGGGAGCCAUGUAUAAUAGAAAGAAGUAACACCAACAACUAAUCCGACCUCUUCAAUAAGACAAAGGAAAAGGAUCAUUUCUCUAUCUUGCCUAGCACAACUUACAAUAAGGGCCUAGACUCAACUCUCACUGGACUUAAUAUAAGGGCACCGAGUAAACUAAUCAUUAAGAUAUUUCUAUUUCCACUGCUGGACACUACUCUACUACUUAAAUACGGAUGAAACUCAGAAUUCUACUCAGCUGUAGGAAAGGUCAGAAUUCAAUCAAGGUUAGUAAGUAGUAAUUCCCGACUGUAGCUUCUCAUAGGCUAAGUAAGCAUCUAGUUUCCCUCUGGGCAACUAUACCUCUCCGUAGUCAACUAACAACUACUGAUUCCACAGGACUAGCUUGACCACCUCCUAUAACUAUGGCACCACUCACUACUUUCAGGUUUCCACUUGAUAACCUCAUUUCUAUACACUAAAAUAGCUUGAUUUCUAAUCUUGUCCUGUUUUGAAUGUGAUUUCCCAUGAAACAAAGAAACUGUCCUUAGAGUGAAUUUCUUCCUAACAUAUUUAGUGCUCCUUCCCUUGUUGUAGAGAUAGAGUUUCAGACCUGGGCUAUAAGUAUCUCGGGCUAAAGUCUGCUACCAGUGCUACUACUACUAAGAGUGAAGUCAACUCCAUUCUGAUUGUCUGCCUCUCUCUCCUCUGAUCUUGACCUCUUCCUAGCUAUAGGUUUAUGAGUGUAAGCAUUAGACACAAGCACUCCCUCCUCUCUCAUGGCCAACAACAAGAACAAGAAAUCCAUCGUAUUCAGUACAUCGUAUUCAGUACUAAGUAAAGUGAAGGCAACAAUCAAAGUAAAGGCAAUAAGGCGGAAUUCUCAUAGCCAACACCAACAGAUGAAACUCGGGAUUCCACUAAUUCCACUAUUAGUUGUUUGGCCCUUCCCUAUACAAAUAAAUAAGUAAUAGAAUCCAUCGCUGUCAGGUCAACAACACCCUUACGUGCUUCCUUGCCAUCUGACCCGACCUAUCCUAUAGUGUUAACCCCGACUCAACCUCUUCUACUGGCUACAAUUCUCAAUUUCCACGGAUUCAUUCACUGCGGAGUUUGAUUCUUGACUGCCCUAUAGCUAGUUUCAUUAGAGGCGAUAAGGAGGGCUUGGGUUAGUCUGAAAGUCUUGUUGAGGGUUUAGGGUGUUGGUUCAGUGAUUGACUUUCCUGAGUCGGUAGAUACAGGGCUAUGUUGGUAGAUCGAGUUUACAGUUCUAUUUCGAUUCUCAAAGUCUUGUUGAGGGUUUAGGGUAGCUGGAACACCUGUCCGGAUAUGCUUAAUAGGGUAGAGGUGGAAGACCUGUACAGUAUUCGUAUUAUAAGAAAGAUCUUAUUUCCCCAACUCAUCAACAAGGGAUGAAACUUUACCACUCCACUUUUUUGACUACUUAGUUGGAUUCUUUACUUCAGUACUUAUAGUUUCCUCGUCAACACCUUUCCUUUCAAACUCGAUAUUGAAUUCCUUUCCCGCUGAGCUUCCUAUUGCCUUAACCGCUCCAGUAGCAAGUAAAGUAGAAAGGGGAAAGUCAAGUUGCGCUUCCGCUGAAAUUCCUAAUUUAGGUUAUAGCAAGGGAAAAAGAAAAAGUAUAAGAAGAUGCCUAGCCUACGGAACAGGAACAAGCAAAUAAGCCUUAGGAACCAGUAAGAGAACCAGCAAGCGCAAAGUCAACUAGAGAAUCCGAUGUUCCAGCUGUUACUGACAAGACCGGUACUGCUGAUAAACUGAAUGGAAUCGAUACCAAUAAGGAAGCAAACAAGCAAACGAGGAAGAGGAAGAGGCGGGUUCCAAGGUAAUGUCGCAAUCCUCAAAGAAGUCAUGCCAGCUAUACGGAUGAACAAGCUCGGGGGAGCUGAGAAGCCCCAACACAAAAGGACUCAACUUACGAUCGAAGCUAUUCAUAUGUAUUUGAUAGAGGACUCGCGGGACUGUGUCGCACGGAGCUCUUGCAGGGGCUUUCAAGGGACAAAGACAAAGUCAAGGAAAGAAAAGCAAAAAUACCUUCCCUUCUGCUGGGUCUAAGAUGAGUUCUAGGGCAAAUGGAAUCUAUCUAUCUCACAAUGGGGAUUUGGAUUGGAUUUAUAGGUAGUCUCUCUUCACCCUCCCCGUAUGCUUAACAAGUAGUGUAAGAGAGUGAGCAAGCCAGAUUGACUUUGAUAGUAGGUAUAAGAUAGUGUUCCGUAAGUAUAUGAGCAAAUUUCCGUAUAAGAGCUUUCUAGUAUAGUUCAUCUUCUUUCUCAGAAUAGCUAUUGAGUUCCCCUUGGAUGUAGUUUCUAGUGCAGAAAGAUGGAAUAUUUCCUCUUUCCUUCCAUGGAGUUAGAUUCUAUCGAGUGUUAGUCCUAAUCCAAAGGAUUCUAUUCUUAGCACUGGCAGUAGGGAUGAUUGACUUUUGGAACUCUAUUCUAUGUAAGAAAAGAAGAAAUGGAAUGACUUUAAACACAGGUACUAGUCAGGAUGGAAGACAACUUCCACUUAAACCCUUCCACUGUUACAGGCUAGAAUCGAUAUGAGAAAAAGAAAGAUUCAAAACGUUCGCGCAACACUGGAAAUAUCUUCACUGCAAAACACUGGAAAUAUCCUAACAGGAACGGGAUCUCCGCAAGCAAAAGAGCUUUAGAAGUCUAUGCCCUAAGAAAAAGGCUAUAGAUGUACCCCCACUAACUCUCGCAAAAGCUAGAGAUUCGGAACUGGCUUAAAAUAGAGUCGGGACUGGUCAUAUUUCUACUGAGAAUAUGCGGAAAUAGACUCACUAUUCUAUCUAACUCACUAUUCUAUCUAACUAUAUAGACUCACUAUUCUAUCUAACUAUUCUAUUAUAUGAUAGUACUUACAAGGAUAACUAUUCUAUUAUAUGAUAGUACUUACAAGGAACUCGCCUAGACCGACAACAGUCAAUUCAUGCCUUACCGCAAACUAUGAUUAUCUAAAGCUUUCUUCCAAUAGCUCGGCUGGUCGAUAGAAGGAAUCAAAGGGAUAAUCCAACCAAAUCCAAAGUCAGAAGGAAUGGAUGGAAAGGAAUACAAUUAAUAAGGAAUGGAUGGAAAGGAAUACAAUUGGAUCUUUAUUUAAGGCUUGAAAGAUUCCUGGUUGGAUAAAACCAGACUGUUUGACUCGCGUAACUGGCUUGAAAUAGUCCCUAAGGAGAUAUUGUCCUUGCCCUAUUGAUAACAGACUGCACCUAUUGAUCUGACCCGAUGGAGAAAGCAUAUUUGGAGCUCCCCUUCGGACCCUAGCCUACGGAAAAGGGACUGCUUGAAAGACUGACUUAAUGAUACUGCCUUACACAAACCCUUAGGAAGGACAGGCACUAGAAACUACUCAAUCAAUGGCACGUUACUCUGGAAAAUGACCUAUAGCCAGUAGGGCCCGAAACUAUAGCUAAAGGGAAAGCCACUUCUAUAGGCAAAAAUAACAAACAGAAAGAGGAAAUCCACUGGUAAUAAAAGCAGAAAAAUGGGGCAUAUGCGCACAUCAUUGAACUGGCUCUCUCACCUUUCUUUUCCUUCUCCAGCAAGUAAAAGCUAGCAGUCAUAGGGUAAGAAGUCCCUACAGACAAUCCGUGUUUUAUUGCUAUCCUUGUAGGAGUCUUUGUACCAGCCUUUGCCAAUCCAUCAGUACCAUAAAACUAUGUUAGUGAUUUCGCCUUCAGAUAGUAUGCUUAUUGGUAAACUAUAAUAAGGUAGUGCUUCGCCCAGCCAAGCGUAUACUAGACAAGUCACUACUUUAGUCCGGUGCCUUGAUCGAGAGUAGUCCUGCUUACUUACUUGCUAUGUGUUUGUAGUGGUUACUUGGUCGUCUUAUCUGUCUGUUGGUAUGAGCUCAAUUCCAGUAGAGUGGGGAGCUAUGUGAGAUAUCAUUCCUGUUAUCAUUGAUUGAUUUCCCAGUUCUGAGAUUCCCUAAGCAAGUGCUGAGUUCGAUUCCCUACGGAGUUUGUAUUGAUUCUUUGACUUGGUUUUUUCAUUGUACUACUUCCUUGUCUGGCAUUCCUUAUCUCUUCCUUUGAUUCUGACUCAAGCAAAUACCUUAUUCUAUUCUCUUAUAUAUGAUAAUAGUAAGUGAUUUAUUUAUCUAUUGUAUUUGUAUUGGAAUUAUGACUUAAUGGAUUGGACCCCGUACCAAAACCCUGUCUUUAGCCUUAGAGUGGACUGUUCCAUCCUUGUAUUCCCUGGUUCGGUUCUUGUCAGCUUAGUUUCUUUCUUUUUAUCUGUUGGUUCCUCUUUGCUCCUAGUUACUAGAAGGUUGAAAGCAAGGCUCUUAGGAACAAGUCUAAGCUCAACAAUAAGUUCAAUAUGGAAUUCCAGCUAGGCAUACAGGAAUAGAAUUGACUCCUAAUAGUAGAGGAUCAAAGCGGAGUGAAACAGAGAAAGUGUGCCUUCCACCCAUGUCUUCAAGUGUUUUUUAUAGAUGCUAGUUAGUCUGCCCCUCUGGUUUAGCCCGCGCGACUCCUUUAUCUCCGCCUGCCUCUCGUAACUCCAACUCAACCAUUCAGGUCUAUCGGACUCACUACCUCUUCCCUAAAUCAUACUUUCGCCACCAUGAUUAAGCUCAAACAAUCUCCUUCGCUUCAGUCAGCACCCCCAAGGAAUAUAGAGGCGCCGUUACUUUACUGUGCUGCGGGAAUGUACUGCGGCCGUAAUCCUAUACUGGAAAUAAGGAACGUAAACCUGUAAUGAGCUACGGAAUAGAGCAGGUUUUUCAUAAAGCGAAGGGAAGCGAUAAACCAAGUAGUAUCGGAAGAAAGAAUGCAGUCCAGGACGAAUAUGGAUUACUAGCCUUUUCAAGCAUUCUGGUAAAGGGUUCAAAAUGUAACGUGCUGCUGUGCCAAAGGCUCAGUACCAAUGAGCGGUCCAGAGCUACUGAGACUCUUGGGAGCGGAUCGGCCCUCUAUGUUGAGUGAUUCUCUAUGCGUUCCUGAUUUAGGCGGAAGCAUAGAUGCUAACCUAUUGAAGUCCUGUUAAAGCAAGCACUCGUGGAGGUACUACUUCAGUAAAAACUCCAUUAUAGCUAAUAAGGCCUAAGCAGAGGAGGAAGAGGAAAAUCAAAUCAAAGAAGAAAAACCGAACCCACUAAAGAGUCACGUAGGUGUGCGAAGGUAGGCUCAAGCUAACUCGAAAGUGAGUGAGUGCACCACUAGUAUACGGGAACGAACGGUAUAAUAAAGAAGUGUUGCCUGAUACCAAAGAAUAGAUCCUUUUCGCUUUAAGAAGAGAAAGAUCUUACCAAAAGGAGGAUCAAACUCUUACUCUUACUAAUAACUACAACGGAGAUACCAGAUCUUCGCUUCGAAUUGGAUUUUUCACAAUUGUCGCUAACAACCUUGGCUAGCUUUCUCCAAAAUAGGAUAGGAAUAGACUUAUUAAGGAGCUGAAAGCCUUUCAUUCCCCAUUAUUCUUAAGCCUGCGCGUAGUAAGGUAAUUCUAAUAGAGGCGCUUGCAUUCUACUUUACUGAGACAGCAUAGCAGAUUUCAGGUCUGGUGAGAGUGAGGUGCGGAAGGGCGCCAACAAUAAGGUCUUUUCCGGUAUCGACUUGGAUUGGGUUGAGUGAGAAGGAUAACAAAGGAAAGGAGACAGUUCAGGUAGGAAAUCGGGGUUGCUCUUCUGCCAAACCCGGCUCUCUGCGCUUGUCAUGGAAUUCCGCAUCUUUAUUGAAUAUUGAAAGUCUUUACGUCCCUAUGAAUAUUCAUAUUGAAAGUCUGUGUACGUCCCUAUUCAUUAUUUGUCUCUAACAUUCUUAAUGCAGAUAUGCAAGAGCAUACGCUACUAGGAGAACUAUAUUCCACCUUUGCUGCCAGGAGAGGAAAACGUUAUGAACUGGGAUUCUUGUAAAGCACUUAGUACAGGCGGGGAAGGACUCAUAGAACACCAAAGGAGAAAUUCAGAUCCAGAAAAGAAAGCACCAUCCUUGAAGCUGAACCCCAUUCUUGUGCCUACAACAACCCACCAUUCUUUCCAACAAAAAAAAGUAGUUAAAGGAUUUCGCAAGCAAUCAAUUCCAUUGGACCUCUAAAACAAACCAACCUUUUGAAUAGCCACUUUUCCACCAGUAUGUAUAGAAGAAACCCAUUAUAGACGGUAGCUGAUGCCCCUUCACCAACAAUUCUCUUUCGAUCGAAGCCCAUUGUGGCUAAUCGUAUCUCCGCAAAUAAGAUUAGGGUACUAUACCAGUUUUCACUCUACAUUGAGGCCUUCUCUCUUUAAAUCACACUGCCUGUAUUAACAAACUAACUUAGCACAAGCUGCUUACUACGAAAAGAUUCCAUUUUCUAUGCCAAUAGACUCGUGACAUACAUGUACUGAGUCGUCAAAUGAGCCACGUUAAGAAAGCCCAUUCUUAUACGCCCACCGGGUGUCCCAAGAGGGCCCGAAUGAAAGACCCAAGCUUACAUGAACCAUCAAAGAAAGUCCUAGAAAUGCAUACUUGUGUGGUCCUCGCUUUCCUCGAUGGAAGCCCACAGAAGGGCCAAAACACAACAAGCCUACCAAUCACCAAGCCCAAGCGGAGUAGGAAAGAAAGAAAGCCCAACAUAGCUAUCCUAAGUGCUAUCUUUUUUCAAGGAAAAAGCAUAGAUAAAGAAAGGAAUACGGAGUCAGGAGUUUGACGAUGCAAGCAAAGGAUAGUAGUAUUAAACGCUGCUCUCUUCGCUGCUUACGGAUGCCGCGCGACGAGUGCGCCCCGGAUGAGGGCCUAUUUACCUAAUUCCAUCAGUAGUUCGAGCAGAUACAACCCUGGAUGCAUAAUAUACCGUGCCAGUUGAUCCGCUUACAACCCAGUUGGCGUGUGAACACAUUUGGAUUAGCAUCUGGGCCAGGACCGAUUGUUCGGGUGGAAGCAGCAUAUCUUUCAUAAGUAUCAAAAGAUUCACAUAGUGCCCUGUAGGGUAAUAUUCAAUAUUAGAACGGUUCCCGCAAAGACAGGUUAGAGAAUUCAUAUAGAUAGGUAGUUUGCUCACGAGCAGCAAUCAAUAGAAAGGGAUCUACCCUCAAUAGAAGAGGAUCGGAUCCACCUGAAGUAGUAAAGUCCCAAUCAAUGGAAAGAAGUUGACUCUAUCCGACCAGCGAGCCAUGAAAGAGAAUCGAUUGAAUACGUGGAGUUCUGAAGUUUGAAUUGAUUCGUGGCAUGAGAAGAAUACGGGACGGGACUAAGGGAUGUCAUUCCAGGCAAGAGAGCCAAUCGGGGAAAUCCUCCCGGUAUAAGCGAAUAGACAGAAGUCGGCAAGAAAGACGGAAAAGAUCUUAAUAAGAAGGCGGCAGUGUGAAUUCAGGCAGGGGUUAAAGACCCGAUUGCUGACUCAGAUAGUGUUCACCACGUGGAUUUCACAGAAAGGGAAUAGGAUAUUCCGAUUGGGCCAGGCAAGAACGAGAGGUCCUUAGUGUUACAGGCUAGGUACGCCGCUCACCUGUAUCAGUUAUUGGGUAGAAACUUCCAGAUUCUAAAAGGGAGAUUAGACGCGGAAUAAUAAGAUGAUGCUUGGAUUCUAAAAGGGAUUAGACGCGGAAUAAUAAGAUGAUGCUGGGCCAAUUACUAUAAGAGCCUAUUGAUGUUUAUUCAAUUGAAAAGCAGGCUACCCCUUAGAAAACCAUCUCCUCUCCUGGAAGAUUCUGGGGUAUCGGCCUUUGCGUACAGCCCUGCUCCCGAGCCUAAUGGAGCUACUUAAGCCUUUAUUAGGAUCAAGGAAAGACCUAGACCGAGUGCUCUUCUGUUGUUGUUCGCCGUCCAUACCAAUGGUUGAAACCUUUGUACACAGCUCUUCCCCUGGGUGUCUACCCCAACCCUUUCCUCACAUCGGAUCUUCCCGGCUGCUGGAGUUGAUCUGAACUGGAAUUGGAGUUAGUAGCUUCCCUUAGGGACUCCUGGACCUUAUCUAGACACCCUUUCCGCUGACCUUUUCUCUUUUUUAGAGGCUUGCCUGGUCGGUGGUGAAGGACGAUAAAUAUACCUGGACUUAGAUGUGAAUUAGAUAUCAACCUUCUCAUCACUAAAUCUCUAAAGUACUUACAAUAGAGAGGUAAUCUUAGUAUUCUCUGUAUAUUUGAAUAGUGACUUUGAAAGCCCUCUAAGUGUCCCGUGCGACUAAGAAUAGGGUGAUAGCCCGACUGCUGGAUUCCGCUUUACUACAAGUGAGCAACUAAACUAAAGCCGAAAGGUGAAUUCCUUGUAGGGAAGUUGAUAGGCAUUUUCUAUCUUCCUGAGCAUACGCUCAUUCUUUCGAUUAGAAUAGCUCAUUCUUUCAAAGGCCUAUUUGAGAGCAGCAAACGCUUGUUCUUUUCUUUCUCCGUAGAAGGAAUCAAUCUCGUCCGCAUAACUAUCUCUUGCUCUUUACUAGGAGCUGCUUGCCCAGUCAUAAAGCUAGGAUCCGUCUCUGUCUACUCUAAGGAAGCCCCGUCUCAGGCGAAGGUUGCUCCGUAUUCUUUUCUUUCAUAUAGCCUCUCUCCGUGUCGUAAUUCAUUCCGUUAACUAAUCUCGCUGGGCCAUUUUGGUUUCUGGUCAUCAGCGGCUCCCCUUUACCUAUCUCAUGGUCUGGAGUGGGCCAUGCGUACCGGUCCGUGGGGUAGAGGAAACAGGUCUAGGUCACAGCACAGGCCGAGGGGGUUCUUAUUAAGUCUACCGCCCGAAACUCUAAUACUUAGGGCGACAAAAGUGCAAGUGUGUGCAGCUCAUUGAAUUGGGUCUUUUUUCCAUAGUAUAGCCAUGUCACAUUGGCGUCUUUUCUAUCGUUAUAUAGCUCACAUCGUCUAUUCAUCCGUUAGUUCUUUCUAGCUUUUAUUCUAUCUAUCUUUCUUUCCGUUUUUCAUAUCUAUAUAUUAGGUAGGUCCAAUUCUUCGCUCUUCUCUUCUAAUUGCUUAGAGGUAUUUGAACCCCUUUACAUCUAGGGCAAAGAUGAGCCCUAUUAGUUCUUUAUAUUCAGGAACAGGGCUCGGUCGACUGCUAAAUGCGUUCCCGUAUACUUCCCUCUAUCGGCGAGAGUUCGACGGAUCACUUUUGCGAUGUCUGUCACAUGAAUAAGCUCCGCAAGCCUUGCGAAAAGUCAAUGCUAUACUAGCUAUAAGUCCAUGCUAUACUUAUAGGGCAUCGUUCCAGUGGUUUGCUGGGUUUGUUUUGCUCUCGACCUUCUCACAGGGGGAUGGAAACAAUAGAGGUAAACAGGAGGCCAAACAACGGGGCCGAUAAUCUUUGAUCGAUCCUAAGAACCAUUACUAUAUACGAUUCUGCUCUCCCUUAUUACUACCCCAAAAUGAUAUGAUUGCCCGGCGCACUUUCGGCUUAAGAAGGCAUCGGUGAGAAUGAGGAUAACUUCUAUACUCUAGGAGAAUGGUAGUUUUAGGGCGGGAUCUCAAAGCUGUGCACGACCUUAAAUCGUAUAGAAGACAUAGAGCGGCUUCUUUAGUUAGUUACCCACUCUUUCCUGGAGAUUCUCUCAUUUCUGUAUUUUCUAGAAGAUAGAAUCUUAGGUCCGAGAUGAUAUGGCCCCUCGUUCAGUUGUACCUUACUCUCUUUUCAUUCUACCCCUCGUUCAGUUGUACCUUACUCUCUUUUCAUUCUAUACUAUUCUAGAAAUGGGAAAUGGAAUUACAAGGAAACACUUUCGAGAGUCUCUUUCACCAAUGCUUAGGGAGAGCCGUUUUUAGCAGGUUUAUUGUUCCCUCAUAGGGCCUUUGAUGAGAACAAGAAAAUCUUAUUAUCCUUCUUAUAGGAAUUGGAGUCUAAGGUUUGACCUGACCUACCUGUGCCCAUUCUAUUGGACAAGUUGAGACAGGUUUUCUAGGACAGAAAGUAGAAGUAGGAGGUAAGAGGCUUUGCCAUUGGCAAUUGGGUGAAUCAGAGACUACAGUAUCCAAUUAUAGAUUGGUUAGCUACCGUUCUCUGGAAGAUAGCUAUGGGUGAUACCUUCGAUCAAUUAAGACCGCAGGCAGAUAGAGUGCUAUUCAUUCGACUUUACUAGUUCCACUGAUAGGUGUUCCUUAGUUGCUCUCAUAGUUUUGUGCACUCUUUGAUCGCUCCUCUGGCGGUAGUUCAGCCUUAGGCUCAAAUGUGUUCUCUAUUCCUUUAACGUAUAAGAAAAGAAGAAUAUAGAGGUCUAAUCGCUGGAUUACAUUUGUUGCUGGGCAGCCACUUGGCUAUGGAUCCUCUUGGCCUUUGUUUGCCCAUCAUCCCUUCUUAUAGUAUGGUAUUCGGCAGAGCAAGUGUAGUCGCAUCUUUCAGGAGUAUGCUAUCUUCGGGGAUGACGUGCAAAUUGCGGAUGCAAAAGUUGCCCCAGUCUAUGAAGAGUCUUUGUCUCGUAUUCUGGUUAAGAUAUCUAGAUCCAAAUCAUUGAUAUCUCACUCGGGUGCGGCUUAGUUUGUUUGCUAAGAGGUUGAUUGUCAAAAGUGUAGACCUUUCUCUGGUAUCUGCAAAAGGCAUUACUUGGAGCCGAUAUCUCCCUGUUUUGUCGCCGCUCAACGGUAUCCGAUCAAAAAGAAGGUAAAGUUCUCCACCUUUUUUCGUCUGGGAGGGAAAGGGUACAAGAAGCUAUCUAACAAGUUUACGCCUAACCCAACUGAACGAGACAAGCUCGAUGGGCUUUGGUGGCAUCAACUACAGUUUCCUUCCAGAGAAUUAUUGAUAGGUUAAAGGAAAAGAAUACUUACUCGGCUCCUAAGCUUUAAGGGCACAGGUUUUUCUUCCUGUCGAUCUUUCCUUUCUUUCCUUGGCGUAUGUAUACCAGAGACAACGAACAAGGUUACGCUCUGGCACCCGAACUUAUCUAUCUGGCAUUUUCUGAGCACAGAAAGAGUCGCGGCUGAGCGAGAACCCAUUCCUUCCGCUGCCGACUGCUCAAUUCACAUUGCCUUCCCAUUUCCCCAGGAAGCUGCUUUUCUGUCUUUCCUCACCCCCGCCUUUGGGCAAACUAUUCAUGCUGGUAGGUACACCACUAACUGAAUCUUACAGCUAUGGGUCUAGCCCGCUAAGCUCUUAAGCGAGCAUAGGGAAUUAGAUAAGAGUUCCCAUCUCCAGCGGGAAAGCCUUCUGCGGAACUGUCUGUUUACAGAUAAUUGUCCCUCGCGAGCCUAGACUAGAUUCGAUUCGAUAUAUGAGUGCUGUCUCACUCUUGUCCGUAGCGCUACUGUCAGCUUCCAAGAACCUUUUCACCAUCCCAACGAUCCCCGAGCUACUAAAUUAUGACAAUUAGAGGAGCAGGGUGCCGGCCUAAUAGAUCAGAGCACCGAGAUAGCAGCUUAUGAUGACUGCUUCGAUGGAUACCUAAAAGCUUCCAUCGCCACUGCAGAUGAUGCCAAAGGUCCGUCCCACUGCUAGCCUAGCCCGCUUUCGAGCGCUCCUAACCUUGUGAAGGUCGGCUUUCUAAAGGACGCCUUUCUCGAUCCAGCUCACCGGCGAGCUCAAUGCAAACAAGGCAAUGAAGUAAGCGAUGUCUACAUUACAGAAUAUCUUAGAUAAGUUCUCAGAUCACAGUAAGUAUAUGACACAUCCAGCCAGUGCCUCAUAGCAGCUAGUUAGGCUAGUUAAGAAGUGUAAACGAGCUUCAAGCGGAACUUUACUUCUUUGAGAAGGCCACGUUGUAGUCUACUGUGGGUAUCCUCCGGACGGGAAUCUUUGACUUACCUCCAAGACAAGAUAAGACUUCUCAUUCUUUCUAUAGUACAUUUAUUGCGUUGUUAGGCUCGGGCCUGACGCUCCGGUAUAGAUAAUAAAUGACAUAGAUAAGAAGGUCUUUGCCGAAAAUAUAGGGUGUGAGAGCAGGUCUAUAUGUUUAGUUUGGAGAAAGGCCCGGCUUUCACUUGACUAAGUUUUUGUGUUCUCCCCGCCAAAUAGAUUCUGCUCAGAAAGAAGGAAAGAGAGCGCUUUACCCAUUAUAUAAUGGAGCUGCCAAACCGAGGCCGAGCUUGAAACAAGAAACACUUUUCUUUACGCGGGCUAACCAAAACAAAAGAGCGGCUCGAAUCUAAAAGACCCCUCUUUGGAGUUUCAGAUGAUUCUUUUCCGGAAUCUUAGAAUGUAGUCACGACUGGAAGGAGAAGAAAGACUAAGUUAUAAAGACUCUAAAGCCUAAGUCUAAGUGAGAACCUUCACUGACAGAACGAAUAACUAACUCCUUCUUCGUUACGAACAACUUGGAGCUAUUAACCAGAAAUGGGGAAUACUCCCUUCUGCUAAGAAAUCGACGCGUGAGACUUACGUAACAGCAGCAAGGGCUGACGACUCUGAGUCUUUCUAUAUGCCGCAUAGCUACCAACAGCAGCUAGAGAGGCCGCAGCCAAAGUGGCAGCAUCUUGCCCGUCACUAGUUCCAAAGAUCCCAAAGAUCGAAAGUAAGAUAAAGAUCUUCCAGUUGCUGAGCCAAUUGAAGUACCGGGAGUGGAUCUAGUGCUGGUUGAUUCGGUUUACCGAAAGAAUGAUCUAAAUCCUGCUCUGUUUAUUCACCUAAAGCUGUGGAAUUGAUUCUUCUCGUUCGAUAAUACUUUUAUACAUUAUCUAGUCGCCUUUAUUGAUCAUCCACUUGUGGGAGAUAUUGCUCUACAUCCUGCUAGCCCAUGGCAAAGGCUGUUAAGACGGGGUUGGUUCUUGUAGUUAUUAUUGCUAUUGUCGGAACACAGUAACGGGGAGCUGAGACGGCUUAUACGCCUUUACUCGUAUCGGGACGCAGCCUGAGCUAAUACCUUUGACAGGGCACUGCCAGCCCCUUCGACUCGUAUCAGGUAAGGAGGGAGACCCAGAUCCCAAGGAGGAGAGAGCUUGUUGGAACACAUGCAUGCUAAUUCCUUAAACAUCCAUCUUAUUCUUGGAACACGAGCAAAUGGUGGAUCCGCGUGCGAUAGGUUAUGGCUCUGAGUUUGGCCCGCCCACAGGAUAUGGAACUAAGCGAAGGGCUGCGGGCAAUGGAUCUCUAACGCCGAAACAGGAUAUGCAACUGUUAAAGGCCGGUGGAUCCGUUGGGUCAAUUGCUUUAAUGGGUUCUUCAACUUCCACAAGGUAAAUUGGAUCUAGGUAAACUUCAAUCGGUUAUUCGACGAGAACAGCGAGUAUUUCUUCUCCGCUCGGUCGACGUUCACAGGGUUCAACAAUGAAUAUUACAACCCCUUAUAGCGACUUCUGCUCCUGUUUCCACUUCUACCUUUCUCUUUACAGCUGCUGAAACAACUCGCUUUUUCUCUUUAUUUGGAUUGAAAACUUUCUAUGAGUCUCGAACUGCGGAGUCAACAAACAAGGUCAACUCUUACUAAUACGGGCCGUGAUGCUUGUCUUACCGACGCUAUUGCCUCCCUCCCUGCCCUCGAUGCGUUUUUCUGCUUACUCAGAUGCUCCUACCUUUGCUUGCGUCUGUGACCCUUGCUGCGGAAGCCUAUGCCUCUAUCUAUCCUUGUUAGAUCACGUGGAUUCGGAGAGAUCGAAGGAGCGGCGACUCCAUUAAGUAUCGUUUAGUAGGCUCCUAGCCGGUGGGGAAAUAAGCACUUAUAUAUGAUGCUAUGCUGCUGCUUUCUCUUCUGUUGCCCGCUAUUGGUGAUGUGAUGGCGGUGCAACUCGUGCUGCUUAAACGAAUGCUGGUGAUUCCGGAUCAACGAAUGGCUCUGGAUCAAGGCCGGACUCAACCUCCCAUGCAGUGGCUCUCUACAUGCCCAUGUCUUCGCCUCGGAUUGAUUUGCCCCGCAGCUCUCAUCGCUCUAUAGCCCAGUCAAACAUUCUAUACAUGUAUGAUACCUCGCUACGCAUACCUUACAGGCCGAUAACCAUUAGCCUCGACAGAUAUGGAUUCCGUUACUGGUGGAGGUUCAUAUCCAAAUAUAGAUGAGGAUUCCGUUGGUAGAGUCAAAGCAGUAGUAUAGAUAGCAGCAUGGACGGCAUACCUUCCUGUUCACUAGCCUAGCUUGUUUCAGAUUCUAUCCAGUUAACUAGCCUAACUUGUUUCAGAUUCUCUAGUUUAUAGUAAGUGUCAAAAAAGUCCAUUCGAUGUUGUCUCUUUCCCGCUGCCUUCACUCCUGCUGCCUUAGGUGCCUCAGCCUCUACCUUUGCUUCAUGUGCUUAUGCCUUGAUUUCUGUCUUAGCUCUUGCCUAUGCCUUAGCAUAAGGUCUUUAUGGCUAAAAAAAGCAAAUAGAACGACUUAAAGACGACGCCUGCGCUUACCUUGAAUUUGGGAUGGCUCAUGCUUCUUGCCCUACCGAUCUAUGCUACCUCGUAUGGUACUGUCUUUCUCGCUUCGUGCUUUGAGAAAGGAUGCAUUCCAAACUGCUGCUUAAGAGGGUGCCCAUUUUAGACCCUUUACCAGAAAAAGUGCUCCUACCUUCUGGUCUACUGGUUAUAGAUCAAUGGCUUACACCCCGUCUACGGGCUUUGGCUCUGAAAGUUAUUACAAGGAUGCGCGUUGACUCGAAUGCUGGUGAGUCAACUGGUUCUGGUUCAAAUGCAUCUGGCUAACUAGCCACCUUUCCCGCUGCUCCUGUUACAACCUCUGAUUGCUAUUAAUAUCAAGAGAACUGCCUUUGCUCCUUUCCUUACAGCAACAAACACACCUUCUUCCGUUUUCCAUCUGCUUGGCAAGAAUGAGUUUAGAGAUGGACCUUUCACGCAGAGAGAAAGAAGGAAGCCAUUUCCAAGUAGAAAGCAGCCAGUUCCAAGCUUGACUUCAAUUAAUAGAACUCAACGAUUACAUACCAUCGAUUCGGCCUAAAAGCAACCUUACCCAAUAAUCCGCCAUUUCCUUUGUUUUUCGAUGAAUAUAAUAAGGAAAGUGACUAAGGGCCAGCCUGUUAAAGUCACAACUCAUAAGACAAGAUAACGGCUGUUUGGUAAGCCGAAGGUUUAGGAUAAGCGUACUGCUGACAGAACGGAUUAAUUAAGGAGAACGGGAAAGCAAAUAAGGUGUAGUUACUAUUAUUCUCCCUUCACUACUUCUCCGGGGAAGCAUUCUAUUAAGAAGGUAAGCCAAGCGGCUCUAGUUAGUCUGAUACCUGGAGUUGCUAGGUGAUAACAAGAACAAGAAUCCGUAAUGAAUCGUGAGGUUAUGGAUGCCGGAAUGUAUACUAUACUAUAAGCUUAGGCUGCGCCUCGGGAAGAGUACUUAGGUGUUCUGAUCUAUAGCUAUUUCAUCUGUCUAAAAUAGAAGGUAGGGGCUGUUUGGUAGUAGCCUAGUGACGAGUAGCAUCCGUUCCUUAUACCCGUUGUGACUAGUUAGGCGGUGGGAGCGGACCGAGCUCACUAUGGCCAUUAGACUCGCAAAGCAGAAAGGUUAUGCUGGUAUUUGCGGGAAAGUGCGGGAAAGAAAGAGGUCAUUGCUAGUAGGUUGGUUCAGUGUGUCCAAUCUGAAUCUGAAUAAUAGCAUUGAUAGAUAUAGGGUCCUCCGUCAUCUUUUGGGGUACAGGUGAAAGCAUUACUUAUUGCAUAUAAAAGGAUGAAACAUAUAAAAGGAUGAAAUGGAUCGGAUAACUCAAUAAUAAAGCUCUGUGUUCCCCGGAGACAUGGACUAAUGCUCAAUGAGCAAGGAAAAGGUUCAAACUUCAUAGGAAAAAGGCGGAGCAUGGCCCAUGGCCGAUAGCUGGCUUGCUUUCUUGAGAGAAGUCUCUCUCCUGGCUAACAAAGAAGAUGGAGCUAGUCUACCUUUAAAGGGCCGCCAAUCUCUUCCUUAGACUGGCAGAUUGGAAUCCUGAGUAUGGUAUGGGGAUCCUUGCCCAUUGGUUACACUCACUGUCUGAGCUUCUUCCUGGCUGUCCUAUGGGUAGAGACAGGCUCUCUCUAUGCGAUCUUUCUGAGAGAGGGGCACUUCCUACUAUGAUCGGAACAGUCUCUCCCAGCAGUAGAUCUAAUCCUUAAGUAAGUAACAGGUAGAGCAGAAGGAACAAAUUGGCUGCUAUGCCCAGUUUCAUAGGUGUUUUUAUGACUCGACUAGAGUAUGGGGAAGCGCUAUACAGGUCACUUGAAUACAUGGUCCAUCCUAUCACCUGGAUCACCUAAUUGAUCUCUCAUGCUUGAAUACUCAAAAGAUGUCUAAAGUUGCUGGUUGAGGCGUGAGAAGAGCAAGACCAUUCAUUGAAUCUGCUUAUAACUUAUCCCUUGAUACCUCUUCCCCGCUCAGGUUAGGAGGCGAGCGGAUUUCUUGUUUGAUAAUCCUAAGCACUACGACUAGGCGGUGCUUGCUUGAGUCGCUACUAUUGCGAAUGGAAUGAAUCAAAAGAGAGGGCGACGGAGAAGGAGGCUCGAAGAGAGGAGUCAUCUAGGCUACCAGAUCCAUUAAGCUCGAAGAGAGGAGUCAUCUAGGCUACCAGAUCCAUUAAGAUUCUUUCUGGGAUCUCCCUUAUAUCUCUCGUUCUUUAUAAUGUAGUUAUGUAGAAUGUAGAAUAACGGCAUUUGCUAGGCUCCAUCCUAAGCGCUUAAGCCCUCCUUCUAUCCCAUUCAGUGAAUCAGCCCAGCUUUCAAUCAGGUUAGUAAGAAGGCCUUAGCUAACUAGGACGAGAAAGGAAGAUUGGGUACCUAAUUAGAUUGAUCUUGAUUUUGCCCCCAUGUUGCUAUUAUGCAAUUAGGGUUCCGCUCUUUGGUUAUUUUCGAUCGUAAUAGAUCGUGAAGAGUGGGGGUAUAAAUCCAACUUCGAUCCUUGCUCCAUUAGCUUUUGCCGAAAGCGAGGCCUAGAACACGGACUGGGUGGAAAUACCGCUGCUAAUCCCGAUCAUGACAUUCUCUUUCCUAUUCAUCUGUUCCGAAACCAAUCUCCAACAAGGAGGGAGGCUCUUACUGUUGACUAGGUUGCUUGAAUCAACGUGCCAAUCCCCGCCUCUCGAGGAUGACCUCUCUUUAAGCCGUAAAGUAGUUGAUCUAAAGCCAGUGAGCUUAAGCCGGAGAGUAUAUACUAUAAUGAAAAUCCUUCCAAGGGUAAGAGAAGCAUCCUGUAUAUACUAGAAUGAGAAUCCUUCCAAGGGUAAGAGAAGCAUCCUAUAAAAGAGCCCUUCCUUAUUGGGCUCCUCUUUCAGAGAACACGAAAGGGCCUUGCUACUCCAACGAGGACACCUUUGAUUUAGGCUUCUUCAGUCCAUCGGCGAGAACAAGCCCAUUAAGCAGAACGUCAUGCCAUUGGGUUGAUCGAGUGAAAACUCCCUCCCUAGCUUUUUCACUAGCUCGAAUUGCAAUUGCUUGAUUUAGCAUUCGAAUCCAUUCUCUUCAAUUGGAGAGGAAACCCGCAUAAGGGGAAGUGAGCCCACUCGACCUAAAGCAAAAGUCAGAAGACCAUUGGGUAGGCUUUCUGAAUAAAGGGAAAGUAUGUCGAUUGAAUAAGGCUAUAUAUGGCUUGAAGCAGUCCAUUGACUAAGAAGGAAGGGUGCAACUGGUUUUCAAAGUGUAGCAGUGCAAAUAGUUUGGUUUUCAGAGAAGUAAUGCAGCAGAUCAUUCCGUAUUUGUCAGAAAGAGAAAGUAGGGUACAAAAGUGAUAGUGGUUAUGUUGAUUACAUUGUCCUUACGUGGGAUAAUGUCGAGGCAAAUACAAAAUCAAAGGUUUCAGGCGCAUUCACAUUGUAGUAAGGCAUUUGAGAUCAAGGAUCUGGGAUGGAGAUCAAAAAGGUUUCUGGAAAUCCAACUGUGAAAAGACCUCCCUUAGUUCGCAUCGAGAAAUCAGAAUUACAGACUCGCGGGAAUAACAAAGAGCCUUUCUGAAUGUGUCUCUACUUCCUUUGCUUUCUUUUUGAAUUCGUUCAAAGUUAAGUAGGGGAAAUUGGCCUACUUGCCGAUUCCAUUCAUAUCAUAGAAGAGGGUAUCCAACUUUGUUACAGUUGUGGGAAAGCCGGUCAAAUUGGCUGACGCCGCCCAUGGAACAACUAACUGGAAUCUAAGUCUCUUUCACUCAAACAAAAAGUCAAAGAAGACAAGACCGAGGCAAUGCAUCUUUAAGGCGAAAUAAGUCAUCAAAGACCAGGAAAGCCAUUCACUCGCUUAGACGAAAAUACGACAUUGACUACUCGACGGACUGCCUCCUAAACAAAACCCAGGCGAGUACGAUAACUUGGUAAGAGAAAAUGGGAAUGAGGCAUUCAACAUUCGCCACUACCAAAAUGCACUAAACCUAGAGAUCUGAAACAAGAGACCUUCUCCUCAUCUCGGAAAUGCUGCUUCACCUGGAUGCCUUGCUGGUGCGCCCAAACCAACCGUUUUGAUCUUUCUCUGUGCUUCUUUCGAGACUUAUAACCUCCCCAUCCCUACGCUCUGCUCUUGCUUGCUUUCAUGUACACGUGUUACCUCUUCCCUACAACCCAUGACAUAUGCAGCUUUCUAUGCCCUCAAAUAGUGGGCCUUUACAGUCUUAGGCUUACCAGCUUUUACAGUCUUAGGCUUACCAGCUAUAGUAGCAGUCCUUCUUUUCCUCAUUGCCACAGGACUCGGGCAAAAACUCGUUGGGUAGUAACUGAAGAAAGCACUUGGGUUGAUAGCCCUAUCACGUAAGGGAGAAGACAGAAUGUGUGAAGCAUACUGAUUUACGGGGACUGGCUAGCUAAAUGGAAUCUACCCUUAUCCAUGAUCUAAGGGGAAAACUCAUCCAGAAAGAUCGUAUCUAAGAGUUCUGUUCCAAUGGCUUUAGCUCAUCUUCUUCCUUGCAUGGUCUUCUUUUUCAUCUUUCUCUUUUUUGGAAUGAGGGCGAUGUCGGUGGUUAUGGCUAUGGCUCCGGGUUCUCGCGUGUUGUUCGAUUGGGCUUUCAGAUAUUUGACCUAUAUCUAUGGUUUAGUGGUCGAAGCGGAGCGGAGCUUCUAUCUAUUGGCGACUUCUUGCUUCUAGUAUUGGUUUCUCGGUUACAGCUGUAUUCUCGACCCUACAUCCGGCAUGAAGAUAGCGGCUUUCAAAGACCUAUAUUCCAACUUAUAUAUGGUAUACUAGGCUGGUGGCCGAAGCCCUUCAUUGGGCAAAGGGUUGGUGUGGCUUAUUCUAGUUUGAGUACGUUCGGGAGCUAGGUGAAGCUUGCUAAUCUAAGAAGAAAGAUUCUAAGAACGACAGUAAUGGAAUGGCAGGAAGGUAGUUGCCGGUACUAAGACCCACCCUCCAAAAGUCAAGUUGGGUCAAAGCUGCAAUUUGGAGAGAGUUGUUGGGUAUCUCGAACACUGCACUGCUAUUUUCAAUCUAAAGUCAAGAAAAAUGGUAACAAUCCCGCUUUUGAGGUGAAGUUCAAGUCAAAGAAAGAAUGCAGAAUGUGGAUUCCCACAAGCCAUGUUUUCUUUUUGUGUUUGUGUAUCGGCGGAUAGUGCUAAGCAAGCCCGUGGCCCAUGGGAGCCAACUGUCUGCUCUGUUGGAAUUUCGGGAACCAAAGUGCGUGCCCUGAAGAGCUUGUUACUAGUUAAAGGCUCAUAUUCCCUUAGGACUUUUCGAGACAAAGCUUAGCCCAAACGAGUCAAGCUUGAAUUUGUAUCCAAUUGGGUAUAGUAUUGGAGAAAGCCUCGGUCGGUUUUGCCUUUCUAUGUAUGGAGGAUAAGAAGGGCGGAGUUAUUCGCUAAGGCGGUUUAGGAUAAUGAUUCAAGGAAGUCUUUAUAUGGAAAUACAGACGUGAGUAAGCACAAUGGAAUAAUGUAGAUGUUUAGAGAAUUGAGUGCCUUUUUCUUCCAUGGCUUUGUGCAGGAGAUUUUCACUAAAUUGGAAAGAUAGAGGAGUUUAGGUCCAGCCAUAAGUUGAAGAUACUAUUGAUAUUGGAUUGGAAGGGGCCCAAUAGCUUCAAAUAGCAGAGAAGGUUAGGCUCUAGUAAGGCUGGACAGAGCUUUGGCCUCGGAUAGUUUCGGAUCAUCUUCUUCUAUUUCGUAACUGGUAUAACAUAGAUAUUCUAAAGAUUUGUCCCUCUACAUCCAUACCAUUCUCUUUUGGUUACGGAUACUUCCCAUCCAGCCGAUUUCCAAUCGAAUCCAAAAUCCAAGUGCUUUUUAUACCUAGGGGAGAUCAUAGGUGAAACUGUUCCCUAAUGGGGUUGUUAUGAAGGUGCUAUUUGCAUUAUGGAAGAAUUCCCUAUUGUAGCUCUUUUUCCCAUAUCAAAUGACUAAACUAAGUCCAAGUAAUGACUAUAAACCUCAUGCAUUUCUUGGUUUUCAAAAGCGGCUAUAAACCUCAUGCAUUUCUUGGUUUUCAAAAGCGGCUAUUUUCGUCUUUCUGAAUUGGGGGAGAACACAAAAGUUUCUUUCACUUUAGUGGGUGGGUAAGAAAGGAAACGAAAGAAUCUGAAUUGGAUGAGAGAUACGGUACGAUGGAUUUGUUACACUAACCGUAAGGACAUAGGAACUCCAUAUCUCAUUUCGGUGCCAUUUCGGAGGUCUAACCACUCCCCUGUUUCUGGCAUGCAGCCAUCAAAGCCAUUAGCUGGGGAAAGCCUCAUAUUCUUCGAAAGUACCUGCUCUGCGGACUAAAUAGUGAUCCAUUGAUGCCAUCACCUUUCCACAAAUAAGGGAUUUCAUGGGAUUCUAUUCUUCUGCCCGACCCUACUUCAUCUUUCCGGACGGUAGAUAGACUAAAGGUUUGCUAAACUUUCCAAUCGCUGCGGACAAGGCUUUCGUGCUAGUAGGAGUCAGAUGCCUCUUUGGAUUACAAACUCAUUAACAAUGCUUACUCACAAAACUAUCACACAAAACUAUCAAGUAAGCGGUUUCUUCUUCUGUUGCUUGUUUAUGAAUUUAGUGCACGAAAACUCAGAAUGGAACCUGAACCCGAGCACUCAGAAGGGAGGUAGAGCAUCGGAAUAGGGCAAGCAAGACUGAUGGGGUGUCAAAGUGAUUCAGAAUUAUUAUACCUGUGAUGUUUGUUGGUGGGUGCCAAUCUAAUAGGGAGAGCUGUUGUCUUAGGCACUGAAUAGUUCAUCCGUAUUAUAAGUGAAAGUCUUAUCGGCAGUAGUCAAAGAGUCCGUUCUAAAUUCAAGCAUUGGUCCCCGGGGACUAAUUCCCUUAUUCCUAAGAUAUAAGAUCAAGUCUGAUCGGUCGGUAUUGGCUCAAGUGCAGUUAGCCGGAGUGCGGGUCUUCUCCAUAGUAGUGGAAUGAUUUGACUAGUGUAAGGGUGGUGGACUGACUUGUUGAAUGAACCUAGUUGUCGACUUGCCUGAUAGCAAAUAGUAGAGGAGUCAUCAAUCAGCGGAACCUUAUUCUUCAAGUCCCGUGUUAGAGCAUCAGUCUUACCCCUGGGCUAUGAAGGUAUAAAACUACAGAUCUCAAGUCUGGGUGUGGGAAGUCAAGGUUCGGAAAGAAGAAGAAUUGAUAGAGUAUGGCUGAGCAAGAAGAUGUUAAGAGCCGAGCAGAGCAAUAGGGUCUAUUUGAUUAAGAAGAAAUGAACUAUUUAAUCACUUCUUAUGUUUUAUGUAGAAAUUCUCAUGUCAUACGCCUAUGAGAGCUUCUAAUGCAUUUAUAGCCUAUCAGGGCUUGUCUACUUAUCCGCUGAGUAAGUCAAGUAUUUAGUUCUAGUAUCGAGUCCAGAAAGUCAGUAUUGCCUGUUUCACAAGUAUAUUUCUUGGGGGUUGUUGGGUCUUCAAGGGGCCAAGAAACUACGUGAGUUGCGCGUCAGUCCGGUCCGGGUGUUGGCUAAAGUCCAGGGUAAACUUCAAUUUGAACUCUUUUCUUUGGUAAUCAUAAUAAGAGGAUUGAUCUGCGCAAAGUGACGUUCGACAAGGAAGUAAAGAGCAGAGCCCAACGAACAAAGCUAUGUGUUUGGUAAAGAGCUCACUGACGCCAUGAACACCAAAAGUAGGACAAACAAGGUGAAGGCCAGUUCCAGUGGCAGAGAAGUCUACAGUUGAAAGUAGUGUUCCAUAAGAAUAAGGAGCAGGAUCCGGAAAGUAUACUAGUGGUUCAACAAAGUCUACUAUCGGAUCAGAAGCUACAAUUUCCAUGAGGCUCGGCUCCUAUCAAAUUAGAUAUGAUCUUUAGAAAGAAUAACGGAUUCCACUGCUUAUGAGUCCGUAGUUGACAACACUGGCACUGCCUCUGAUCCAGCUGAUUCAUUCUCAUUGCCAACAUCAUUGCUUGCACCUUACUUUCACUCACAGAGUUCUAGGAUCUUAAACAUAAGAAGGGAUUACGAGUUUUUAGAGUUCGAGGAAUAAUACAGUAUUCUUGCGUUUAGGCUAGUGCGGUUGAAUACGAUUGAUUUCCAGCCCUAUCGUUAACAGGAACGAGAGAGAUUCAGUCAAUUAAGUAAGCAAGUAGUUCCUAAACUGGAGUGAGAAAGUCAGGUGUAUGACCCAUGUAGUAAAUGCGUUAUAGCAAUGUAAUAUAGGGCCUGCUUCUUAUCUAAUAGUAAGUAAGGGAAUGCGAAGGGAAUGUGCUAGAUCAUACCUUAUUCUCUUAUACGCGCAACUAAUAUGCUUCUAAGGCAACUCAGUAAGGCAAUAAAGUGAUACGCUGCAACAAGUAUUUCUUUGACUCCUGAGCAACAAGGCAAGUGGGCACGGAGGCAAAGGCCCAUAGGGGAGCAUACCAGUAGUUAACAUCCACUCUGUGUAGGAAUGCGCUACAUCGGACCUUCCCUUUGCUAUGACUGAUAUGACUGAUUUCGGUCACAGGCAGUUUCAACAUUUGAUGCGAGUAAUUAUACAGCCUUAUGUUAUGCGCUCUAAACUAUACUGUCUUCCUUGUUGCUGUCCUUCUUCGGUGAAUAGUUCAAUUCGGAGGAGCUAAAGUAUGUCUGGGCCUGGCAAUACUGUUCGAAUAGACCCUCGCUCAUUCUUAUUUUUCUUACCUUGAUACGGGAUAGGAGCGGAAGCUUACUUAUAACUUGCGCGGGGGGAGCUACUGCUAACAAAAGUACUUUCUUUCUUACUGCUCGGCACACAAGCACUUCUGGAACUAUUCCUAUAAAGUCACUUUACUCUGCCCCUACCUGCUAAUAGAAUUAAGUAACUUCACACUUGUUCUUCCCCAUAGGAUGAAACAAGUAAAGCACCCGAAACAAGUAGCUUUCGAUAAGUAACACAUGGGAUAUCAACUUUCUAAUAUCAUUAUUAUGAUCCUUGGCUUCUGCUUGAUACUCUUAUUCUAUAUUUAGAGUAGCGCGCGGGAUACAAUAAGGCUUAACCGAACAAUUCCAAUUAUUAUCUUAUUAUAGGAAUCUGGUCACUAACAAUAAGAAGGUAACCAACCGUGCAUUGAGAGGGUGGGUGUCAAAUAGAGUCUAGUUAGCUGAGAAAGGAGACUGAUAGCAAAGAGGAUAACUGAGCAGCCUGCCCGAGUAUUGGAAGAAAACUAGUAAGUAAACCAGCAUACCCUAGUACGAACUCUUUGGGAGUCCUCUUUGAGCCUCUCUUUUCUUGUACUAAACGAAUGUAUCCAAGAGAAAUAAGAAUAAGCCAGAGCAGGUAUGAGCAAGCCAGAUUAUAUAGGCCUCGACUUGUUGAACCGCCAAGCCAACACCGAAAAAUGCCACUCUUGAACUUAGGGCAUCCAGACCAGUACUCUCUAUUGAUCCGCGCUAACAAAGACACUUAUGAACGGCAACUAUUAGUUUCACCUGACUGCUUACUUGAAGUGCAGAAACAACAACACUGUAAACCCAACCGUCCGGGGCAAGGCCCAGUUUUCUUGAAUCAAAGAAUAGCUCUCAUACUGGGGGAGUUAUCUACUGAUUCUUUCCCUUAACUUACUUCACUUUCCUAGGGCAGCUAACAGACUUUAUCAAGCAUCUUAUACUUAAACAAGGGAUUCCACCAGAACAGUACUAUCGGGAUGAAGACGAAAACUCUACUUCCACUUAUGCUCAUUCACCAAAACACGGGAUUUUGGAUAGCUUCGUAUACUUAGCCAGUACUAUCGGGAUGAAGACUAGAACCAUUAACAUAAGGGCUGGACUACUACCCUGCUGUCAACUAAUGCAAUUCCAUUCUUCUAAUUACUUAUUUCAUUUACUUACUCGUUGAAUUCUUACUGGAAACUAUCCCUCUCCUCUCGCAACAAAGUCGAUACUUUCUGCUUUCCCUGCCCAGCAAGCAUCUUAUCUCUUUCUUGAUCCACAGAUGGAAACUGGACAACUACUUGUUCUUGUCUGCUUGCCCGUAUAUAAAAGCAGCUUGGUUCUUUCUCUUCUGCCCGUUGACCCUGAAACUAGUCGUAUAAGUAUGAGUUAGUUCUUUCGUAGUAGCUUGCCUCAGUUUUGAGUAGUUCCUUGACACGCCAUUGCUCGGCCCUGUAUUCUUUGUUUGUCAUUUCCACCUGCGCCUCUGCAACCUGGAAUUCUUAGACUAAUGCCUUGCAUUCCAUAGCAGCUGAUCCCAAUGCUUUAACUAAUGCUUUUUAGGCUAUCUCGCUAGGGCCGGUAAUAAAAUAAGUCAAUCCCGGAUUGAAACCCAUGUUAACAAGACCGGAGCUAGUGUAAACAAGAAUCUCGCUGCGAACUAGGAAAUCAACUAAUAAUGGAAAGAAUCGAUCCACUGCUUCUCAUAUAAUAGGGCAGUUGGCAAACAGGCUGACUUCCAAAACUAUAGGUCUGACUAUUCUAGCUCGAAAACGGACAUUACCCCGGUUCUAAAUUAUGCCCACGCUCUGCUGGUCUUCCGCUACUGUCUUUGAGUCUUACUUCCGGGGGGUUUUCUUCCUCUUUGACUAUUGCCAGAGAGGCUUACUAUCUUUGCUUUAACCCUAUAAUAGCAGCUAACAAGGCUUCCCUCACUGGGGACUUUGCUGUGAUAUGGAUUCCCCUUCUUUGAUUCUUAUUAUUAUGGUCUUAAGUCUAUAGCUCCUUACCGACCUUUCAUGCUUUAACGCUGCCUUCCAAGCCUAUUGUACGUCCCCCGGCCUUACUUUCUUUAGUUAUACUCAAUAUAAGAAUAGAACUGGUGCUAAUCAGACUUUCUCCUUUACAUAAGGAAAUCAAUUAGUAACUCUCGUACUUUAACUGGGAACUAGGAAUUCCACCAAGUAGCCCAGAGAACCUAAACCAUAUACUGGGGCCGGCCUUUGAGGCUUAUCUGACCAUCUCUAAGUCUCUCUAUCCUAGCUUUCCAGCUAAAACUCAAGUAAGUUAGCCCACCCCUCUUUGCUUACACUAAUACCCCUGACUUUCGUUCUGAACUUCCCCUCCUUCAUUCCCUAGUUACUUAUUCUAUUUCUAAUAUCUAUGCAUGCCUGGGUUUCUUAAUAAUAAGUGGACUUAUUUCUUCUUCAAUUAGGUAUUCUAUUUACUUAUAUGAAUUCUUCUUUUCCCUUAUUUGAAUUACAUGCUUUCCGAGCAGAGAUAUAGGUUCUGGCAAGUAAGAAGUAAACUCUGUGGUUCUAGGACAACAACUCAGUGAACUCACCUCGAAACUCAAGCUAACACAAGGAUCAACAAUACUUUGACUUAUACUGAAAAGAAUGCAACAGGGGCAUACGAUACUUUAACAGGAAACAUAGAAUGACGCUGCUACUGGCAAGAAUCGAAUCAGGAAUACAAGAAUAGAGAGAGCCCGCCCUAACGAAAGGAUUAAAACAAUGCUUACAAGAGUCCAACUCGUAACUGGGAACUCAGGUCUACUCUCUGAGAAUUGCACUAUAGCUUCGAAUACUUUAUCUUCUUGCUUAGGAUCAACCUUAACAACUGCCUGGGGAAUCUAACUCGACUGUAAGAGAAUUAAGCACAUGCAUUGAAGAAUGGAAAUCCGCUGUAGAAGAGAAAAGACCUACUGAGCAUCGGCCUGCCACUGUUAACUCUAAGUCUAAAGAUCCUAUUGCUAAGCUUUUUCCUCAUAGUCAUAGUAAAGAAGCAACCUAGGAAUAAAGAGUUACUACCUACCCGGUGAGGCUGAAAUCGCGGGCUAACAAGCCUUGCACUUUAUAUACUCCAUUCAACGUUUUCAUAGCCACUAGUUAGUUAGUACGUUGCUUGCCCGAUGGAAUCUUUGAUAACGGAAGUCUACCUCUUGUACCUCCGCUCCUAUAACUUCAUUCUGAAAACACAUAGCAAGUAGUAACCUGGUUCUCUUUCUACUCUAGUAUACGCUUGGUCGCUCUUCAAUUCUCACCUGAACUCCUAUUCUGACUUUAUGACUUUUGAGUUUCAUUCUGACUUUAGAGCUAGUAUACGCUUGGCUCUGUUUCUUCACUAGCUUCUUGACUUUCUUUACUUGUCGACUUGCCCUGGUUUGAUAUAACCCGGGGUUGAACAACCGGAUACUAAACUCUACUUUCUAAGCUUGCUUCUUCUGUUUAUUGCUGGCUUACUGUUGACUUUGAAAGCCGUUGUGUUAAGGCUUACUCUCUGGUCGUGGCUUGUUCACUUAUUUUAUAGUGGAGUUUUGGAAGCAAAGCAGUAAUCUCCGAUAGAAGCCGAAUCGAAUCUAUAUCUUUGCGAAUGCCUAUGUAGGUAGCGUAGCGGUUAAGUGGUGUUGUUUCUCAAGGAAUAAUAGUUUGGAAGUGGGAAAGAAGGCAGAGUUAGGAAGUGGGAAAGAAGAAAGCGCUGUAUUAGCAAAAGGGUGUUGAAGCGCGUUGUGAAUCAGUAGAGUUCCAAUAGCCCUUGUUUCAUAUCUUAACCCCGAAACUCGUUAGCACAACUCAACGCGUAACGGAACAAUAAUAAGGUGGUUUUUCCACAUAUAGAGAAUAGUCAAAAACCCGCAUUGCUUUAAGAAUGAAUAUCUUCCAUAUGAAGGAAGAAUAAUACAGUGCUUUUGAAUAGGCAGUGUUUUUCUCUUUCUUAUAGAAUAUAAUGUGCACGACGCGCUUACUUGAAACUUUAUACUUUACUGCAAUCGCAUUAACCACAAGGCAGAGUUGGGCGAGUAGUUGCUAAGUGGUUGCUUGCCUACUAGCUAUGUGUUUUUUGCUCUGGCUCUAUUCUGCCUAACCGAAGAACCAACCCUAGACGACUAUUAGAUUAGAAAGCACUUCCGGAAUUCUUGCCGUUCGUUCUUGACAUUGCUUUUUUCUUGCUCCGCUCGACUCAACGUUGUAUAAGUUAGCACCGAACCAGUACCGUUUACCCUGACUUUAAAGAAACAAGUGAGUAAGGAGAGAGGGAGGCGGUAGGUUACUGAAACAAGUGAGUCAGUAGGUAGGUUCCAAUUAACACUUUACUUGCUCAUAGGAACGUGAUAUUCAAUGAUUUUGAACUCUGUUAAACCAGAGGAACGCUCAAUUCUCUUCUCUUCCUUUUUCACUCUCUUCAAACAAGUCCUUGCGCUUACGCUUAUUGGAGUCAGUGGUCGGUAACUAAGAAAUCCGAAUGAGUUUUUGGAGUAAGUGGUCGAUAACUAUAAAAUAAGAAGAAGAUUCCGAGUAAAGUCACUAUUAUCAGUCAGGUAACUCAGAAGAUUGAUCAUGUUGAUAUUCAACAAACGAGAGGGGAUGAGUAACCCUAUAAUCCGCUCGCUAAGCUUCAUUACCCAGCAGUUAAUCGGUUAGGGCAAUGUAGUUAGUUGGUUCUUCAAAGUGUAUAGUUUUCGUUUCCAUUCCUAGAGUUCGAACAUUGUCUUUACAAACACUUCUAUACCAUAACCAUAUGUUCGAUAAGAAAUUCCAGUUUUCGGCGCUAACGCUAGUUCUAUCACUUACUUACUGCCCGGUCCUACCACUUACAGCCCGGUCAACUCUUUGCCUGACUGCCCGGUCCAACUCUACCACUGACUUCCUCGGCGCAAGAAACAAGUGUCGUUUUUUAGACUCCAAUUUCUACGAACAGCCAACACCGAGAUGAGAUUAUGUUGCAAGAGAAGUAUUUAGUCUCGUAUCAAGUCUGGUUGUGACCUAUCUACUGGAGUAUUUCGUUCCUUCAACCCAACCCCGGACCGGUAACAGGUUAAGCAUUCGAGAUAGUAGCUCGAUUCUACAUAGGGUGUUUUCAGCCUUAGAUGUUCUUGUUGGAUUCUCUUAUUUAGUAUAUUAGUUUGGUAUCCUUAUUUCUUUGCUUAAUGCCGGGUGUGCUACAUCAUAUAUCCUAAUUUACCCAACAAGGAGUGAAAAUAUGUAUUUCGAGUUGAGCUCUGACUUCAUAGUCGACAUUCCCUUAAGUAAUAUAGCUCCUAUCGAAUAAUAAUCAUGAAACUAAGUGAACGGAAAAAGAAGAAAAAGUCAAACAAAACUUCCACUCUAUCUCCGGAUAUAGUUGAGGCUUCCCGCUAUUGAUCCAUAUUCCAUACGUUGCUUGCCCAUAGCGAAUCUGUCUGCCCCUUCCCGAACUAUCUCUUUCAUCGACUCCUAGCAUUGGUGCUGAGGAAAUUAUCUGAUUUCUAAUGUGUGGCUAGUGUGUGGAUAGCCUGUUCUGUGUUUUCAAUGUCUUAGAGCUAUGCCGGGGAUCUGUAUGCGACAAACAACAUAGAGUUUCUCAAUGCUCACUUCGCUUUUGCACCAAUGAACUGACUUUUGUUUGGAAUCUAUUAUUAUAUAUAAAUUCAUUAUGCUAUUACUUUGCUUUGGAACCAAUUAUGAAAUUCGAAUAUUCUAAUUAUCCUCUGACUUUACCAAUGAUUAUAUUACUUACCCAACGAUUCUAUUACUUCACCCAUUAUUCUAUUACUUAGUUGUUUUCUUGAUUUACUAGUUUAGAGCGCUGGACUCCGAUGCAGUGUUUAAACAAUUAGAAACAGGAGUGUUAUAGACAGCCUAGACAUUGAGGUCAGUAGGGGAAGAGUGAGUGUUUGUGGGGUCAAUCUUAUAGGUGUGUUGGUUUUCUUUCCUUAUUUCUAGUAUCAAUGCGGUAUUGCUAGUUUUUCCAGUGAGUCAGUACAGGUUAUAAGCAAAGAGUCUAGGGCUAAUAUGUCUGUAGUAGUAGCAGUCCCAUCAGCAGUAGCAGGGUUCUUCUUAUUGGUAUUGGGUUUCCUAGUUGGUAGGUAAUCCUUGUCAACAACCUGUUCUAUUCUAAUGGUGACUUACCGCAUCUCUGCAUGGUAGGUAUAUUCUUUCUCCCUUGUUUCAGCCCUAUCGGCAGUAAUGGAUUUCUUGUUAACACCAGUAUCUGUUUCGGAGGCAGGCGCAUAGUCAGCGAAGGCAGACUCAAUUAGCAGCAGGUGUACUCAACUCAAUCUAAGAUCUGGAUCAGUAUUUAAACAAUAAAAGACAGGGACAGGAGAGGCGGACACUAAUAGGUGAAAUACCGAGUUAAGGUAAGUAGUGUGGCAUACAUCGAGAGAGGUGAGUUAGGUUUCAAGCAAAGAAGGUAGGCUUAUUAGGCAGGAGUCUCAGUCUAAUCAGUACUAUUUUCUUUCUUUAUUGUAAGGUCAAGUAUUGUGUACUAGGGUGUUUCAGAACGAAAGCUCGGAGGGCAUACUGAAUCUACUAAUACAGAUGUUAGGUAAGGAGGGGAAGAGUCAAACAAACAAGUAAGAAGAAAUAUCCGUAGCACAAGAAAGCAAGUCAAUAGUCAAAGUUUGAAUCAACAGGUAAGUAAUGUAGCUAACGAGCUCCGGGCUGAGUGGGAGAAAGUCAAGACAGAGGUUCGAUGCCAGUAGGUAAAGCCUAAGCUAUGUAGUGACAGUAUGAGAAGCGCUGGUUCUAGUAGCCGGGAAGGACUGUUUUAGGUGCAGCAGUGAAAUAAGAAAAUCUGGAUAGUAAGCCCUAUAUUUAGUAGUUGUAGAAUCAAAGCAAAGAGAUAUAAGCUCAUAGGCUGUAAAGUGAUACUUGCAAUAUGGGUUGGUAGCCUUAAAAGCGGUAGGCUUAGCUAAGAGCGUAGGACUGCUGGUUCCAAUCGAGAUUUUGGAUCAGGAGUUGCCGAGGGGAAAUACAGAGUGAAGUUCGGAAUUGAAAGACUGAGGUAAAGGAAUAGAAGACCAAUACGAUAGCUUACACCCCACACGCCCAGCUACUUACUUGCCUUGUUCUGACUUUCUAGUUGGAUGAUCCCUGUGAGAGCAGUUAAGUGCUUCUGCCCGAUGCUAUAGUUAAGGUAUUAAUUCACUGAUUCCCUGUCGUUAGGUUAACAACCAGACUUCACCGGGGUAUAGUUACAGACUUAAACUAAGCCUUCCCCGCACUGAUACUAGUGAGGGAGUCCACUGAUUCCCUGGUAGACUAUAGGGUAAGCCCACCGAUUGCCGAGUGAGAGUAGUAAGUAGAAGACUCAGAGACACCCUAAUAAGGUAGGGUUACAGAAUAGAACUAGAUCCAAUCAGACUAAAACCACUAACAAGCAGAACGAAACGGGUGAGGAAGCUUUAUCAACAGAAUAAGGGUUUCAUGAAUAUAAGAAUAAGGUUCAAAUAAGAAUCUAAGAAUGAAGUUGAUGGGUUUCCGUUUUCAAGUAAGAGACCGCUGACAAGUAAUUAUGAGUUACUGAAUGAAACAAGCCCAGCAUGCAAAGGGGAAGGAAAGAAAGAAAGUCCGCUCUGAUUCAAGUAGAGAGGAAAGAGUGAGCACAGAGGAGAGGGAAUAGAAGCAGUAUGAGUUAGUCUCUUGAGCACCUGGGUGACUUUCAUCUUAUAUAGAAGCCUCAUCCACUCUUUGUUGAAUUAGUUUAAGCCAGCGGACUCUUCUCUUUGAAUUGAAUAUCUCCUUCUUGUGGCGAAAUACAGACUAGUUGGGCCUGGGCCUGGCAAUACUGCUCGAAUAGAACCUAGCUCAUUCUCUGGUAACUACCCCUGUGCUCCUGCCUUAAAGAAUAGGGUGGACUUACCACAACUCUGAUAAGACUUAGAAUACUAGUCAAAUCAUUCCACUAUCAACUCGUGUGAACGGGCUUUACAAGACUUAUGGAGCUGGGCGGAUUCAAUAAGUCUAGGCAGAUAUAUAAGUUGUUUGAUACCUUCUGUAGUAGCGGCGGUGAACUUGCCUAGUUGCGGUGAAGCUGUUUCAAGAUCCGAAUAAAGAUCAUAAGCAAUUAAUGCAGCUGUAGAUUCAAAGUAAGGAAAGGAAGCAAGAACAAGUACUUACGGUGUUUUUUAGCUUAGAGUUUGUAUUGAGUCUUUACUUAAUUCUAUUCUAAUUAUAGGUAAUUCUAUGAGGUUCUUCUCUAUUUUCUUCUUUUUAGCAGUAGCAAUAUCUUAUAUGUGUGUAUUGGAUCUGCUUGUUAACUGAAAUAGUAGUACCUUGUCUUUGAGCGUCAGUCAUAACGAAAUAAACACUGUACGGAGAGUCAAAGAUGGCACUAUAUGAGACACAAGCACUGUACAGAGAGUCUAAGAAUUCUAACCUAUGAUAUUAGCACAGUAUGAGAUGAGCAUCACUGUAUGAUGUGAGCGCACAGUAAACGAUUAGCACUGUACCGAGCUGUACACGAUUAUCACUGUACCUUGAUGGGCACUAUACCCGAUAGAGUAGUAAUUAACCUCGUCAAGCAACGUCAGCGGGUGAACACGAUUAGAAUUAGUGGAAUCCUUAAUCGUACCUACAUCUGGCUUCCUAAACUUUAGGGCAGCAAUAGUCGCAAGCCCUGUCUGUUAGUCCUUUAUUGAUAGCUCUAUGUCAGGGCCUAUAUAAUGUGUCACUAUUUUCGAGAACGAGGCCAGUAGCCGACUUAUCUUGACUCGCCCGUACCCUAUGAAUUUCUACAGGAUCGAUGUCAUUGUCCCCAACUCGCAAAACUAAGUCAAGUCGAAAGUGCAGUAUAUAUUAGGUAAUAUUCUCAAUUUCUAUAUCAUCUCUAUAAUGUGGUCGAAGGGUUUCAUUCCAUUCUUGAAGUUGCUAGAAAGUGGUAUUUGUUCAGGCUUCAGUGCUCAGUGGUACAAUUCAAGCAUAAAAGUCAAGUAAGUAUGCCCAAUAUUAGAAGAUGGUCAAGCAGCAAUUCCAGUUAUUGGCUCAAGGGAGAAAGAGAUGAAGCCGUGUUGGCCGACUAUACUCCUUACGCGCAACGGCUUGCUGAUUGUGAAGAGAGUGCACCACUGCUUUCAGGUAAAGGCAAGGGUAAGUCCAGAGCGGAGCUAUAGGGCUAAUAGUGGAAGAUAUCGUAGAGGUUCCUGUGAAGGUGCUGGGCUUUCUUUCUCUUUUUUGUUGGGUUGUUAAGGAAACGUAAAGUAUUGUUUCAUCAUAUAUAGAAGAAGCCUAAUAAACUGUAGCAGGAGUAGUUACAGCAGAAGAUGGAUAAGAAGCGAGCUGCCCUUAAGUUCAAUGGGUCCGCCAGACAAGCAAGCCGGACAGCCAAGUAGACAAGCCGACUCUCCCUUCACUGUGUUGGCAGUGAGAGCAGUAUUGCACUAAAUGAGGUACCCAGCAUAUAACCUUGUUAGAAUAUUACCAUCCAGGACAUUAUGCUGCUGAAGAUCUGGCCUCUUCCUUACCUGCUUAUACUUGCUUAUGGACCAUAUCCUCUACUUAGGCUUAAUGAAAGGAAAGUACAGACGAGUGCAGAGAUAACUGGCUUCAUUCAAGUACUGACGAGAAUGACAUGUAUUUUCUAUUUGUAUUCAUAUCUUUGGAAUCUCCUAUCGGGUACUUCGCUUGCGUAGAUAACUCCUUACGCGAGAUCACCUUUUUCAUUUCAAUUUGACUCUCUUGCUGAACAUACAACUUGUAUACCAGCUCCCGAAAAAACACUUUACAAAGAGCUGUAGGGACCCAAGAGACUUUAUGGAUUAUGAGAAAACUCCUAACACGGAACUUAGCGGAUCAACAAACAAUGGAAAAACUCUCAUACUAUUGCAUAACAGGAAGGAGCAAGAAACAAAAACAGUGAAAUCAAUUCAAUGAGGAACUUCAAGUGGUGUUAGAGCUAAAGGUUAACAAACAAUACUUUUCUUUCGUAAUUCUAGCUUACUUUAUACUAUUCCUUGCGCCUUCGCAUUCUACUCUGUCUUCAAUUCGAUUUAUAUACACGAUUCUAGUCCAACUUCAUUGAUUGCCGCUGACUUCCCAACUCUACUUAAACAUGCAUUUUCUCUAUGAAGCUCUGAAGCAUAAGAUCCUUAUUCCGUCCGAUCCUUAUUCUAUGCCUGUGUACUCUCUCAUUCUCUCGUAGCCAAUGGAUUCUUUACCAUAACUUGACUUUACCCGCUCAGCUCACUCCUAUACGGGUCCUGGACUUGAUACCCUAAAAAGCUUUGAAUCUUGAUAUCUUCUCCACCAAACUAUCCUUGAACUAGACUUUCCUCUGCCUCUGAUCCGGAACAGGAAUGGAAACGGAGUAAGGUGAGCUUAGAUCCUGUCAAUACGGAAUUGAAACAAUCCCCUCUCUGACAUGAAAGAAAUGUCUUUGUGCCUCUCCUAUCUUGUGGACUUAGGGCAUCAAAACCAUGACGAAGAAAUAAGGAUUCGCCUGUCUUCAUUAACGGAAAGGAUAGGUCGGGCCAGUAAGGGAACCAUCAAGCAUAAACUCCUUUAGCUUAAGCCACUAUGUUUAGAAGCCUUAAGUGAAUGAGUUGACCGGGCAGAGUCAGUAAAAGAACUCGCGUUAGUACCGUGAGCACAAGGGCUUAGGGAUUUACUAAAGUUGUUCAGUAUGGGUUCGGGGAAGAAGUCGGGUAUUCUAGUUCCAUGAAAGGAGAGGUUGGUAAGGGUGGUGGACUUCAAGUUUGACCCCAACGAGCAACUAAACGACAAGAGCUAAGCAAGAAGGAGUGCUGUCAGCUGCCCCAGUUCAAGAGUCAAGGGUAAACCGGAAAUAAGUAGAAGGGUAUAAAAGGGUCCAUUCUAUAAAUCUAAGGAAAGGAGGAGCACAAAGAAUAAGAAAUAGAAAUCUAAGGAAAGGAAUAGCAUAAAGAAAUGAGUAUUUUAGAGGAAGAGCGCUAAGAAUCAUUUUAUGGGCAAUACAUUUGAACAGCUUCUCAGGUCUGAGAUGAGAGAUUAUAGCCAUCCCCGCCCAUAAGAUUUGUGGAAAAUGGGUGUUAUGACACGGAUGGAAUUGCCUGGCCUUCUCAAGCCCCUUUUGUAGUGGUACAGAAAGUGAAGUAAUUGUCCUGCUAUAAGCUCCGAGUGAGGGCAAUCAUCUAGUAAAGUGAAGGGAAGGAAUCUAGUAAUGGCUAUCGAUUCCAGUUAUUGGCGACAUCCCCGUAUUGAGCUCCUUAGCUAUACAUGUCUAUACGUUGCUUGGCCCUGAAGUUCGUGAGGAGUAUCGAUCAGAAGCUUGAGCAAGACCAGGAGCAGAAGAUUGAUAAGGAGAAGAAUAGAGAUCAAAAGCUGUGAGAUCAGUUCUAAGUAAGGAGAGUCGCUCACUUAGCUGAAAACGGAUAUUGACCCACGUAAUGCUUAAGUAUGAAAUCAUCCGCAAGCGUUUCUUUACGGAAAAGUGUCCCUUCAGUGAGUGCGAGUUACGCCUAAUAUCUGACUUGUUUACUAUGAUAUAAGAGCCACAACACUUGUUUCUUGCGUAGAAGCAGCAGAUCUGAUAACUCCUAAAGCACCUUGUAAAACAGUUCUUUCAUAUCUCUCUUAUCGAGCACAUGGUCAAAAAAGCAGUAACCAACUAUCUAACUGUUCUUCUUUUCUGCAAUUCAAGGUUAGAUUGCGCUAUAUGCUUACCCUAUUCUUAUAUUAUUGAGUUGGCGCGAAGCAAGAUCUUGAGAAGAAUCAUAAGAUAAGCAGGAGAAUCUGAUGGAAAAGAGAAAGAUAGGGAAUUCGUAAGUAGUGUGAUCGGUAACAACUCUUCUUGUUGGUUACAUUGCUUAAUGUCCCCCUAUAGCUGGUAGAGUUCCAUAAGCCGAAUCCAAGUAAAAGUGCUUAUGCCAAACUAGCAUAUUAAGCGAUAUGAAGAAAGUACAUGCCCUUAAGUGCUUUUGGUGUUGAUGCUGUAGUUGCUCCUUCGCAUCCUUGUGUUGAUGCUGUAGUUGCUCCUUCCUAGUAGAGUAUCCUGCAGUUCGCCCUGUUCCACUUAUAUCGUAUGUUGAAGCGGAAUCGACUCCACAAUCGCAUUCCCACUAUUACUAUGCGGUGUGUGAAGCAUAUAUUGACGGUGUUUGUGUGUCUCUUGACUCUAGAUCUUAAGCAUAAGAAUGAAAGUAGACAAUCGGUUCUGCAAGUGAAGUGGAUUACGGGGAAGGAGUUCGAUAUCCGUCUAGUCUCACUCAAAUGGAAGGAGGGAUAGUCGAAUUCCACAUCUCUUAGGGGCACUGAGUAUAUGGUGUAAGUCCUUGCUGUGUUCGCUAGGCCACCCGCCUGAAGCGUUGAAGAUAUAGAUAGAGAAUUCUAGUUGCUUGUUUAUUGAUUCGGCGUAACGAGUGAUAGAGAUAGAUACCUUACGAGGGUUUAAGGAAAGCAGUUCGUUCAGGAUGUUCUACUUUGUCUUCAAUCGGGCAAGCUUUCAUCACAUAUGAGGAUUUGGACUCUAUAUUUGGCUAUUCCCACUUAACGGUUAAAGACUCACAAAGGGGCGUAGCGCUUGAGAAGGAAUAAUACCGCCUAUUUCCUAAGCAUGGCGAGUCCGUAUCGGGUCAGCUUCCAGCAGAAGCGUAUUUGUUUUCCCACGCUGCUCACGCUUAACCAAAUAACUAAAAACAAGGAUUUGCUGAUCUGAUUAAAAGAAGCUCCCUACGAUCGCAUCCUAGGUGAGUUCAAAUGGCAAGUGGAAUGGUCUGGUUCCACUGAGCGGCUAAAAUCACCCCCUUUAACACGCAAGUAAACAACACGCACAAUCAAGUACUCCCUCAUUCUCUUAUUGUGCCCCGACUCCCUCAUUCUCUUAUUGUACCGGCAGGCCUGGGCGAGCAAGGGAUCAGAGGGCGGCGGACCAAAGGGUCUUUCAAAUAGCGUCUUUCCACUUGUACCAUCCCUGGGAUGGCUCCUGCCGCGUGAACAUUUGUCUUCCCUUACUAAUACUAAUGUGCAAUCAUUCCCGACCGCACAUGCAUUUGCAAAAGAUUCUAACAAAAGCAGGUAAUCCCCACGGCCAUUCUCGGCAUCUUCACUAAUGAGCCAUUCUUAUCCUCUAGGCUAACAGAACUCCAUUUCAUCACAACUUCCUUUCUUUUGUGCCUAUGAGCUUUUCCUCUUUUCCUGAAAGCGCCUAGGAAGUGGGGAUGCGCUUGAUUCUGCUCCAGCUCACCCUUAUUUCUUUACACGUUCUCAUUCCAAGGGUAAGUAUGGAUUCUACCGUAUCGGAGUUUUGAAUCAAAAUGAGGUAACCUUUGAAGCAUACCUAUAAUUUCAUACUUUCCUGUGUCAGAGAAUACGCAUCCAUCUGGUAUAGAUGUAUUAAUAUGGCAUAUGGCUAAGUAAAUAAUUUCCACAAGGGGGAGAUGAAAGUACAUACAUAAGUAAUAAAUGACAUCAAAGACUAUUCGAAUCAAGAGGGAAGGCUUCAAUCAAAGCCAAAUAUAUGCUUAGAAUCCGAUGGGUAGUUGACUCUAGAAAAGCAAAGAAUGGGAUUUUAGGCCUUGGCUUAAAUUGUGGGAAAUUCCAAUCAAUCCUAGAAGACCUUCCUAUCCACCCGAUCCGGUAUAGCGUGAAGCUUUGCUUUGUAAAAUGAAGCUCUAAGGAAAUAGCCAAUUCAAAGGUGGGUUCAGUCAUACUCAGCUUACAGCCUAAUUCCAAUCGAGGUUCCAUCUUUGUACGAAAAGUGUUCAGCAAGAAAAGGGAAAUCCAGAGUGAGAAAGAGAAAUAUGUCUGAAUAUAUACAAACAAAAGAAGGCAUCGGACAGGUAAUGCCAGGUAAGGCAUGAGUAGGAAGACAUUUCCUUCCAUCUAGGAAUACUAAAGAAAAGCUUUUGCCGAAGCAUGAGGGAAUAGCUGAGUACAUGGAUCUCCACAGGUACGGCAUUCCGCUUUGCUUUUAUUUAGCCUGGAGUCAAGCUCUCCUAGAGUGGUCGGGAUAAGAUUUCGAAACCAGUGCGUGCUUUAAAGGGCUGUCUCACUACUUACUAGAUCAGGCGAUAUACCUACUUGACUAACUAGGCACAGGAAAGGGCUAUAGUAUACGGGUUGGUUUUUCCAUUCCGUCCUUUCUGAACUGACUGAUUGCAAGCGGGCGGCUAUCGCUAUCGAGAAACUUGAUAAGGUCAAGAAGAGCAAUGAAAGUCAAGGUGGAUAAGCAAUGGGCUUGAAUGAAAGGAUUUUUGUACCAUCUCUUUGCAACUACAAUGCAAUUGGAUGGAAUAAAGUGGAUUGGACUCAUGGAUCCGCUGUUGAUUCCGUCCCUGUAUCCUCUUACAUUUUGGUGGAGUUAUUGUGUUCUAAACCAUCGCCUUCUGCGCUCUCGUGUCCAUAAUAUGGCUAAAUUCUGAAGCGUUAAACGUUUGGGACGUUCCAACCUCUGCGGGCAGUUCUACACGGGCAUAGUCAUUGUAUUUUGCAAGAAUCCCCUAAAUGGCUAAAUCCUUCGCUGCCGGAAUUGACCGCGUCUCUCUUCUCUGCCUUACUUCCUUUCUCAGGACAGGACGACCUCACUGAAUCCCUAAAACGCCUGCGCUCGGCUUUACAUUUCUAUCCUUGAAGGAGUUCGAUAUCCGUCUAACUACAAUGGUUGAGGGAAAGUAGAAAAACACCUUUCAUUGAUUGACUUCGCUAGAAAAGCCUUGAUAGAUCCAUUACAGUCAGUAGGUUCGAAUCCUGUCCCCGCCUAAUCAUCUCUGAGGCCGUAGUCAGCCUACAUAUUUAGGGAUUCCGUAAGUAACUCGGUUAAUGUGCCUUUUCUCAUCAAAUGAACUACGAAGAAUCGUGCGUUCAAUAUGGAACCCGCAAGUAAUACGCUUUAUGAUUCGUUUUGUGCUUCUGUUAGUGAGUUUCGUUGCUGGUUUUUUCUAUAGUUUUCUAGGCUCAGAAGGAACCGCAAUAAUGAACACUCCCGCGAGAUUCUCCUUCUUUUAUUCGUGAUUUUAGUGGUUUGUUUUUACUCCCUUUUAAGCUUCUUCAUUUGACAAAGGAUUGUCGCUCUUUAUUAGGUGUGACAACAGCCUUAUCCACUUUGAUUUGUCAUGUAUGUGGUCUUCUGGAUCAUCGAAUGAAAGUGCAAAUUAUGGUGUAUAAUGGGGGGGCUUGGAAUGAAGCUAAGGAAGGUGAGAAUGGAAUUUUCUUAAAGAAUGUCAGAAUGGAGUUAUACGGUAAGAAACAUAAUUCGGGGAGUCGGAAACUUCAUCAUAUAAAGGAAAGUCUCCACAAGGCCUAAGGUUAAUUACAGAGGCCUAUUGUGCUUACGGAGCUAGCCGAGAUCUACUUGUUAUCUUCGCGUAUAAAGUGCAGUGGUAUCUUCGCGUAUAGAGUGCAGUGGGGGAGCUUUAGUGUGCCGCUUAAGUUCACCUUUUCUUUUCUUAUAGACAACAUUCUUGUUACUUACCGAUGAAGACAGUCAGGCCAUACCUAGACCCUUCCAUGUAUACCUCCUUGCGUCGACAGCAACAAUCGGUUCAUCAAGGAGAGUGUUGAGGUCGACACUUAUGGUUAAUGCUCUAAAACAGUAUAUAUAGGGUUUAGCAUUGUACUUAAUUGAUUCUAUUAUAUAUUCUUUGGCUUUUCAACUCUAAAUCAGCAGACAUUGCACUAGCCCCUAAACUAUCAAGUUCUCAUUUCAUUGUGGAAUCUUGGCUUUUAAGAGCUCUGGUAGUAGCGGCCAGUUCUGUUGGCUACGAGUCUCUUGUUGAGUUCGACAGAAUUGAAUGAUCAACGACUGAAGCAGCGCGGGCAAGAGAAGCAACUAGGCAUUAGUGGGGUGUUUCUUGGAGUUCCAGUUUUCGUUCCUAAUUUGGUCAUCGGUGUUAGCGAGUUUAGUUACAUGGUUUACUUACUUGAUUGAACACUGGCCAAACAAAGUCGCUUUAGAAGUAUAAGGUCUAGGUGCAAUUCGUUUCUACCCCGGGAAAGUCGCUCGCGUUAGCGUAAUUGGAGUUCGAGCAAAGGUCGGUCUGCGAGAUGAGAUAAGUUAUUGGGGAAGAAAGCAGACAAGACGCGUCACGGCGAGGAAAACAUGCAUUUCAAUAUUUCACUUACGCGCAUACCAUCCAUAGAAGAUAGGAAUGGAACUGCUCAUCUAACAACUCAUUCAUUUCCAUUUUCUUGCUUAACUAAGUCUUGUGCCGCGCCCGAACUAGCUUUGAAGAAUAUAUUGCUUACUGACUUUCUACGGCUUAUAAAUAGGAUUUCACUUCCCUUUGUUAUUACCGAGUCCGACAACGGGAUGAGCAACAUUGUAGCGAAUGAAGAGAUAGACUUGAGUGGAACUGCAUCGAUUCGGCUUGCAACUGACACUCGAACAGCUUAAGUGUCUAGUGGGGCAUUCUUAGCGGAUCUACUUUACUCCCCUUUAGACUCGGGAAAGCUGUCAACUCAAUCUACUUUAACUCAACUUCCAGUUAGCGCAGAUCAAUCCUCUGAUGAGGUUAUACGACUCUCAAUCUUUGCGUUCAAGCCUUUUUUCCCUGACUUCUGAAGUGCUAAGUCAAUCAGCGUGCACAGGCUCCUUCUUUAUCUGCUUAGUUUCUGGAUUGAGUUCGCCGCACCGCACCUUUGCUUUCUAAAGAUACCUUCCUUUGUUCUGUGCUCUAUCAGCUUCCUUCUUCUUUGCCGCUACGAUCUUUCCUUGGUCAGGUCUUCUGCUCUGACUGCAGGCUCUGCUUGCUCUAUCAGCUUCCUUAAAGACCUAAGUUGCAUUUCGUACAACUAAACUUAGCACAACACUGAGUCUUGCGCCGAACUUAUCAUUCAUUGAAAUGGAACUUUCGCUACUUAGUAUUGUUGCCCAGAAGUAAGCAUUAGCACGGAGUCUUGCCCGAACAGGACUUGUGGAACCAACUGUCAUAGUUAAUAUCGGUUAGAACCUGGACUUGUGGAACCAACUGUCAUAGUUAAUAUCGGUUGGAACGAGCCAUUCACACGUGAGCACAUCUCCCCAUAUUGUAUUCUAAGGAGUCAUCUCCCCUCAGAAAAUAGAUAAUAAAGAGAUAGAGAGGAUAUCCAUUACUGGUGCAGAGCAAUAGUCAAUGAAGCCGCGGGAAGAAGAUAAAAGAGAGGCGCACUGAUGCCUUCUAUAAAACAGGAGUGCUUCUCUUUCACAGUAUCGUAUUGUAUCCUCAUUGAAUCUUCUAUCUCCAAAAGAUGGUAAACGGGGGAUAAAUGUCAUAUAAUGGUCGCUCUUACUGUCUGUAAUCUACUUUCUUCCUUCUGUCUGGAAUAUACUUUAUUGGUCUUUCUUUUGAAUAUACUUUAUUGAUCUGGUUAAAGCUAAUUUCCAUUCUCUGUGAAUCCCUACACACUGGACUCGCUCUUGAUUGACUCUUUCCAAAGAAAUAGGAAAAAGUGUGUGACACAUGUCCUAACCCACAGAUUAGCUUCCCUCUGUUCAUUGUCUCAGUCAUUCUUGUCAUGACCAAUCAAUCGGAUCUCAAGAACACCUCCCUGGAUUCAAAGCGCAUUAAGUAAGUAGGUCCGCUCACUUUAAUACUCCUCCUUUAUACCGCACUCAAUGAAUAAGAAGUGGAAAGCAAGACCGAAGCAAAGAGAAAGAGAUUCCAUAUUACUGAGCUAGAGCGGGCGGGGCGGCAAACUCAAGCUUCAAAUCAGAGAGAGCAUACUGCAGCACACAAAAGAAAAUCAACCUUAGCCUAUACUAUAAAAGGAGCUAGACCUUUUGUCCCGUUCUAGAAACCGGUGCCUUUGCCUCUGUCCCUUUAGUGCUUACAUUGAAGUGAAUGCCCGCAAUAAUGCUUCUGUUUCUUCUGUAGCUUGUUUAGUUGUGAUAGAAUAAGGUCAAGUUUGUCUCGACGAAAUGAAAUGUGGAUAUAUGCGCUCUCUCAAGCUGUUAAGAACAAGACCAUACUAGAAGUCGAGCUCUUUUCCAUCUUGCACAUGGUAUUCCAAUUGAAGCUGAAAAGGUGUGUAAGAGGAUUAGGAUUGAUUCGGAUUCUCUAACUUAAGUAAGAUAUGGUAUACUCUCAAGAUCCCUUCGUCCACAGCUAAGGAAAGCCUAUUCUUCAUAAGAUCAAGCACGCACUAGUUUCUUGGAUUUGAUAAUCUCCCAACCUUUUCCGAGAAGCAAACCAACCCCGGCCUUAUUGCAAGCUUGGACUAUGCGGUUGGUAGUAUACAUAUUGGUUCUUCUCUUUUUCCCUUCCAUUUUGGAAAGUGAGUUUCAGAGGAUAGAUCCAGGAAAUUGUACAUACUAAUGUCAAUCUUCAUUCCAUUUUCAUUAAUACACAGGUAAGUAAGGGGUCGAUCGGGCUAAUCCCAAAGCUUACCCACGAACUGCUGCUAGUAUUGCUGCUGCUCUACGGAUCUUCUAUCUCUUCGGCCUCACACGGAACCUUCUCAAAGACUCCUUUUGCACUGAGAACACAAUGAAUUACUUUACUGAGAACAAGAAAGCAAGUACGUUGGUUUAUAUGGAAUCCUCUUUCGCAUCCAGAGAAGAGAGGGGCUAUCCGAGAGAGUGGUUCAGGUGACUACCGGAGUCAUUGAUUAAGCAGUAAAGAUGGGCGGGCUCGAACCUACAAUAUCACCGUUAUGAGCGGUACUCAUGAAACAGGAAGCCCCCACUGAUCUAUCCAUGCAAUCCCUUUCGGGAAGAGCGGACAGAAAGAGUAGACCAGACCCCUUUGCUCUAUCCGCUUAUUCCUCGGGCCCCAGCAGGGGUUCUUUGGCAAGCCAUAUACAAAAGAAGCUAAGUAAUGCCAAGUAGUGAAAGAAGCUAAGUAAUGCCAAGUAGUUAGUUUGAGAGUUACCGUUAGGGCGACUACUUCUACUUCUAGGCGUUGACCACCAAUAGUCUUAUUACGCAAGACGGCUUAACUCGAUUCAGGAUUUCAAUAGAACAAACAAGCCCAGCGACAAUAGUGGCUCUUCUACUUUUUGGUGUAGUUUACCCUACUAUUGACUCAAGGUAAGACCUAUUACUCAAGGUGAAUAGGAAGAAGAGGGAAGCCUUACCUAGUAGGUGAAUAGGACGAACAGGGAAGCCUUAGCUAGUUGGAUGUAAGCUUUAGUUGUUUUGGUACUUUUGAACUACGUCGUUUAUUGUUAAAGUAACCGGAUGUUCACCGGCGGGUCACUUUAGAUAGAAAGAAGGCUUUCACUUUCCAGUUCUCCGCGGGGGCGCUAUCGCAAUCUUGUUCGCUUUUGUUAACUAUAAGAGAAGUAGCGCGCCAACUAACUGAUAGCUGAUGGAGCGCGCCCCGUUUGAGUCUAAGUGAGCGGGGAGUCAUUUGUUUAUACUGUACUACUACUCACUUCAAUCAUGUAUACUGUAAAACUACUCAAAUCAAUCCAAUACAGAGCCCUUCCACUAAUAUAGGCCCACGCCCGCGCCCUAUCCUAUAGUCAUUCGCGCUAGCACAACGAGAAAUAAGCGUAAGCACAAGAAAACAAGUAAACAAACACCACUAUUGAGGUUUGUCGGCUCGCUAAUGAAACCGUCUGUCUUAAUCUUCAUCCAUUCCUUUCCCGGUGGUCAACACACAAUACAAGAUAUGUUCCUUUUUGAUCGGAUUGAGACACAAGUCCCAUUUUGCUAGGAUGCUCGUCUUAUUCUUUCUCUUAUAAAACGGGGAUACUAGCUUCUAAUCUGCUUAGCAAAUCCUAUAUUCCAUUAUGCUUUUUGAAAAUGGACCUCAAAGAUGAGACUAUAACAUUUACGCCAAAAUGUGCCAGAGCAAGUGAAAGGCAAGCCAGCCUACCCACUGUGUUAACUUGCCAAGCCCCAACAAAUCUGCUAGGCAUUCGAGUGGAGCUGGGAAACAAGAAGCUCUUAUUUCUCUUUAUUGACUAUAUUUAUUGUUUGUUUGUGCCCAAGAGAAAGAUCAUUUGAAAGAGCCAAAGCCGUAUUAAUUAUCCGUGUGAAACUCCCAUAUUCGGAUAGAGUCCAAAUGAUUGCAUCUUAGGACGAGACUCAAUUCCAUAGCUACCAUUAGUUUCCAUGCAUCUUUCAUCUCGGGGGAUGUUAGAAUAGGGCCCAUCUACACAACACGAUAGCUUAAGCAAAGAGUAGAGAGAGCGUCGCUAUCAAUCAUACUCAAAAGAUAUGAAAAAAGCCGCAUACCAUAUACUUGUUUAAAUCACACUCUUUUCUUUGUCUGUCAGCGAGGAAAUAGGAACAGCGGCUUAAGCCAUUAGGUGUAGGCUAGGCGCUUGGCCGUUUGUAGCAGUAGCUUGGCCCCCUUUCUGUUAAUCUGGAAAUUGGAUCUCUGGAGCACCCGUAGAAGUCAUAUUCCCUGCCUCAGCUACUUAUCUAAAUCUUGAUCCUGCAGCUAUACGAGACCCAACCAGCGCAGGAGCAAGCCAAUCACUUCUAUAUAAGACAACUGAAUCACCUACUUAUACGGAAACCCGGCAAUCAACAACCAAUUCAGAAACGGAGACGUUAGCACUUGUUCUUGUUGGGCUGUGGACCGGCUUUUGAUUCUUAUGAAACUCCCGAUUAUGCUUCAAAACCUGUAAGAUAUGAUGAUCCGGAUCACGCGCAAAGUCCUGAUUCUAUUUAUUAGGCUUCUUAUAAAGCAGAUGCUUCCUCUCCAUCUUCUGAUCUUGGGGCACUAACGGGAGCUUCAAAGCCAGUCGAACAAAGGACUUGCCCGGACUUUCGUCAAGCAUCGAACCGAAACUCGCACACAACAAGAACUCCCUUUUAAGACCCGAUUGCUUGAUGCCCUCUUUCGCCAACACCACCCACCGCCGGUUGCUUCUUUUCUGGAAACAGCUGAUGAUCAUGUUUAGGAUCCAGAUACUGCAACAGAUCCCACUCAGUAUGAAGCUUAUUCAAUUGGAAUUUGGUAUAGUAGUACUUGUGUUAAGCAAUGAAGGUGUCGUGGACGUGGAGAGAGGUGAAGGUGAAAGUGUCGUUGGUGCUCUUUGUACUGAUUACUUAAAGUGUCGUUGGUGCUCUUUGUACUGAUUACUCAUAUCUGAGUGUGCGAGUACUAAGUGGAGAGAUAAGCUUCUUUGCUUUCCAUUAGCCUUGCCAAGUAUAGAGCAGGUUGGUUCUUAGCUUUCCCCUUGCGUGCUUGCCUUUGGCGUUCACUAAUUAACAAGGGCCUUUCUAACUUAUUAAUACACAACACUUCUUGCCUUAAAGGAGAAAGAAGCCCAACUCAAUAAAUGUGCUAAGUAUUGAAUGCGAGUGGAAUUCCUUUAGCUCAAAGUAGUGUAGAGAGAAGAGAGCCAAGCAACGACCCCUAGGGUUACAGAAUCCAACUAAGUAGACUCAGAGUAGCUAGUAUCAGAGAAUCAAGCUCAGUAGUUACGGAAUUAACCUCAUAUGACCAGAACACCAAUACAAAGACAAAGAUAAGACAACUUUGGGUUGUACAAGAAUGGAACGGCGUAGUAUCACCUCUGCACUAACAGGACUUGAAACUCCACUUUCCACUGGACCUGGCCCUGGCAAUACUUAGUGCUUCAGUAAACAAAUAAUGAAAGUAGUACCGUUCUGGAACAGCUGACUCAAGAACUACACUUGCAUACCCGCACUGACUUAGACACAAUAACUGAACUCUCAUUUGCAGACCCGCUAGCAACUUACUUUCUACAGUUGAUGAAUUCUCUGAGAUCUACUUUCUUCGCACCAGCCUAGCAACUACUACUGGACUGGCAAACAGACUAUAAGGGCCCGAACUAACUCCAUUUUACUUGCAGACCUCAGUUAGAGAUUACUUGACUAGCUUCCUCUCCUCAAGCGUAUACUACAACUACUACCAUAAUAGUUCAAUAAGGUUGUGUCACUACUGAGUCGGCACUUGCUUUCUCUAACUACUGCCAGCCCAGCAGCUGACGCUGACCUUACGUUAAAGCCAAUGCCCCUGUCAUAUGUAUGGUAGUGUUCUUUUAUUUGAGCCUCGCCCCUAGUAGCCUCCGUUUUCAAACAAGUAAGGGCAAGCUUAGCUAAGGGAUAGGUAUACCGAUCCGGAACUACAAUGCUAUAUAGUAGGAAUAAAGACUUGAAUCACAGCUUCCCAUACCCUAACCGCUAAUACAAAGGAUGGACUACUAUACAUAAGACAAUAGCCACUACUAUCUUUGUUUGAAUUCGAAAACCUAAGCUACCAAUGCCCGAACUCAGAACUGAGACUUUCACUCCUGUCUUUUCGCCUCUAUCUACUGCCUCCGAUUCUGACAAAACUCGAUCUCAAUCUAACACUCCGGACUUGGAUCCUUCAGCUAAUGCUUAUGAACCUGCCAUUAAGACAAGUUAUCUUAGUAUAGGUCAAAUUCUUACUGCUCUGUUGAUCGGUCUGUUUCCCUUUACCUUAACUCUAUCUCCCCUUGCAGUUAGCCUGUCUCCUUUGGCACCUCAUUCUGCAUUCCCGCCUCGACUCUUCUACUCAUUGUUUGAAGUCUUUUUUUGCUUCUUUUUUGUUUGACCUUACUCGCUUCCUUCUUCGAUAAUGAGCUAUAAGCCUAAGAUCUAGUACUAAUAUAGUAUAUAGUUGUGUACGGGGCUAGCGUAUCCAAUAAGAGAAAUGAGAGGAGCAAGUAGUAGAGUAGUUGGUUGGCUCUUUUUAGUAGUCAAUUCGAUUCUUGUUAGUGGUCAAUUCCAUUCUUAGUAUAGUACACCUGUUUGUUACUUCGUUGAAUCCCUAGUGGGAGACAAUAAGGCUUAACCAAAGAGGUAGAGCAGAGCCAGCAGCUUGUUUCACUCUUUGUGGACUCGGUUGACGAAACCCGGGAAAGAGAACUCUGGGCUUAUGGAAUUGCACUACUUGUUAUCUUUGCGCUAAGUAGGGGAGCUAACUUUAGCAUUAACCGUGUAGUGGGCUGGGCCGGGCCGCUCUUCUUCUAUCUUUGAUUAGACGACUUUGUUUGUGCAAUAGACGACUUUGUUUGCACAUUAAGUAAGUAGGGGAGCUGACUUUCAUAACGAAAACUCGGGCUUGUGGAGUUACUUGUUCAAGCGCCAGAGAUUGAUUGUUAGUGAGCUCUGUUUGCCUUAAUUCUUUUCAAAGAACACUUUCACGUUAGCACCUAAAAACAAAUAGUCUGGAAGCGAUAGCACAACAGCGCAAGAACUAACUCCAAAGUGAUAGGCGGAGGGCGGUCCGGUUACAUACUAUAUUAGUGGAGGUGCAUAUGAAACCCUUGUGCGUUGGGCAGCUUACUAAUAUUUCAUAUAGGGUGCGUGCCUCUGUCCUAUAGUUCUAGUUCAAGUUCAAGGGGUAGUGUUCGUUCUUAUGCCAAUAAUCUAUUCAAGUUGUGCUAAGGCGAGCUGGUUGGAAGCGCUAACAGAGUUCUUUUACUUACGCAUGAGGAGUCACAGCUUUCCCUUACAGCGAGAGAAUCAAUUGAACCUGAUCUUGUUGUUCGUUGGUAUUCAGGGCGUCAGGAGCGGCCAAAGAGGAUUGAGCUAUUCUGGUAUAAAACUAAAGAAUCACACCGUAAGGUAGAAAACUAUGAUAGGGUUCGAACGAAACUAGAUUCUUAUUCUUCAAGGAGCACGUACGUGGUUGGCGGGAUAGAGUGCAAUUCCUGGGAGUCGGAAACGGAAGGUAGUAGCUUGGCAGUAGACAUAGUCCUGUGUUUUGGAGUAGGAAAUGUAGACAAAAAAAGGAGUGGAGAGUAGCCCUUAUAUUAAGUAGCAAGAACAGGAAGCUUAGAAGCGCGUUAAGGCAAUUAAUUCCGUUUGUCUCAAGGAGGAGUAGCAUCGUCUAUAUGAUCUCGCCCGGCGGAGCUCCUUUUUGCACUUGACGUCGGGGCGGUAUAGAGAGGUAAUUUCGUGUUAGUUGAAGGAGAUGAUUGUGUUGUCGGCGAUAGGGAGUUCAGGGCAUAAUAUAGUGCUUCUGAAGCAAGAUGUCAAUCAGUAACUAAAGGUUGAAAAUGAUACAACAUAUUUGGUUCCGCAACUUAAAUAGAGUAUCUUUCUGUUCUUGUGGGAAAGUAAGCCGCAUCUCAUGUCCACGCCACAUAAAGGUUAAGCGAAAGAAAAGAGUACGGGAGAGGAAUACGGGUAUUAAGCGGGAAAGAAUGUAUAGGUCAAGGCUCAAAGUGUAGUAGAAUUGUUCAAGUUCCGUAAGAGCAAGACAUGUUGCAGCUAACGUUGGGAAAGCUUUAAUGUAAGGACAAGCAGAGCGGCAGCUGAGUUUAACUAGGAGUUGGUCGACUCAGUCUCAAAGCCCCUUCCUUUCUACGCCCCCGGUUCUAUUCCAGUGGUAUUGCUUUUGCCGCAUACUUUAUCCAAAUCGAAUUGAAAAGCUUCUUGGAUUUUCUAAGAGCAUGUUCCUGAUCAAAGCUAGAAUAAGCUAAUAGUGGGCUCGGAAUUGAACGUCGUAGGAUCUUUCUUUCCACAGGCUCCUGCCGCGCUACAGCUUAUUUCGUUUCUUUCCUUAAACAGACUAUGAGGGCCACUAAGCCUACUUCUGUCAAAGCUACUAGACCAGACCACUACGCCUUACUUCAUUAGUAACAAAGUCUUACUCGUUCAUUUCAUGAUUCAAUUAAGUAUUCUUUUGCUGUAUAGUCAAACUUCCUUCUAUUUGCUUAGCUAAAUAAGGGCAAAAAGGGGUAGACUCAUUAUAAUCAAAUAGUUCACUACUGAAUUCAACCUACUAUACUUAUGAGUAAAAUACGGGAAUAGGGAAUUUCACCAUGGAUAACAAGAAUGGAGCUAAGGAGUAGCGGAUUGAACUGCUCUUAAUAAGAAUCGAAUUAGACAUAAGAGUUGGGGUACGAUGUAGCUGUUAAGGAAUAGAAUACAGAAUAGGGGUAACAAGUAUAAACCUGGAACUACUCCUUAUAAGAAUCGGAUGGGGAAUACAGAAUUGGACUAGUAACAAGAAGAAUGGAACUUUGGGUUUACAAGAGUGAAGGUUUCAAUCAUUAGCUUGCUACCGCGCCACGUUAGUAGCUCCCGGAUACUGGACUCGCUCAUAACAGGAGCUGCCCUGACGCCUUGGAAUUAGGACUUGCUUGCACAUAACCAGUUAAGAAUGUAUUUCUUACUUAAGGGGCUCCUGCCGCGCAACACAAACAAAGUAGUAGAGGACAAACAACUGGUGCUGACAAGACACCUAUAAGCUACCUAAAAGAAUAGAACCACUACCGACAAGACUGAACCCACUAGCUGGGAAUCCGACACUGCCCUGCCUUAACUACUAAGAUCGAUUGCAAUCCACCAAACCAGAGUAUAUUUCUUAUUACAUAGUCUACUUCUUAUUAGUAAUGUCUGCUGAUGUCUUCAUUGGUUAUGUCUGCUGAUGUCUUCGUCAACUCAAUAUGGGGAAUCAAACAGAGCAUACAGAAAACAAAUAAAAGUAUGGAGACCAACUGCCGAUAACAGGAAUGGAGCUGGGGCUAAUAAGGCUGUCACUACUAUCAAUCAUAAUUGAGCUAUUGUAGUACUAACGGGAACCAAAAGAGUGUAGCGGCCCUGCCGUUUUCACUCCUAGCCGCUCCACUUUCUCUCUAUUUCAUUGAACUAUGGAUCUCUUGCUUGGGUGUUCAGCGUAAACAUCACUCUUAGAAGUUAACAUCAUUCUUCUUGCGCGAACAGAACUCGUAUACUUUCCUAAUACCUAGCAUUCUGAUCCAAAUCUUGUUCCUGCUCUACCUAAUCCAGCUCCUACUCACGCUUUCGCCUCUGAUCUAUAUAAGUAUUUCCUUUGCCAGUUUUCCUCUGCACACUAUAAUCAAUUCCGUAUUGACUUGCAAGAGUUAGAAGAGAUCCAAUCUUAUCUGCGCUUACGGGAGCUUCCUUCCCAGUACUCUCCUCUGCCCUUACCGCUCUGCUCCGUGGGUCAAAUAAGGUUUUCUGUGUUAGUGAGCGUUGCGCCUAUUCUAACUUCAAUUAUGGGUAUGCCUCCAUCUAUUCGUUCUUAAUAAAGCAAGCAGUAACCAGUGAAGGAAGCAAUGCAGUGUUCUUAUUUUAUUCCAUAGAAAUAGGUGGUGCAUAUUCGCGCAGUAAGCAGUGUGGAGUUACUUUCAGAAAAAGAAAUGAGUCAAGGAGUUAGGAAGCCAAAGGGAUGCACCCAAGUGUUCCUUUCCCGCUACACAACUGUCUAUAAUCUUAUAAAGUAGGAAGUGGCCGACCAAUGUAAGUGCUGUCAGCUGUAAGCAGUAAGGAGUCUUGAGUAAGGAGUAAGAGAAGCCAUACUGUGUGGUUUUUAGUAAGGAGUGAGUUUAGAGUUCGCCCUUAUGCACUUGAGCGGGCGCCUAGCAGUGAGGUUACCGAUUAACAACUUCUUAGAGAAUAUGUGCAUUAGCUUCUUUUCUCUUUAUAGUCAUUCGGGGAACAAGCUUAGUCUAGUCCUUCAGUUGCGAUAACAUGAGUGGUGCAUUACUUAGAGAAGGGAUAUAACAAAACAAACAAACUACAGUUUGCCUCUUCCUAUCAUAUUGAGUGUAAAGGGUGCUAACGCUUAUUCGAGUUCUUUCAAGGGUUGCUCUUCUUUUUUGCUUUAGUUAGCUUUGGAGGAGUCAGCAGUCCAAUUACGCUAUGUUAGAUGUUGUCGUUAUUGUCGUUAAUUUCCAUUUCCAUUCCAAAAAGCAGUGAGGUAACGUUCGUCCUUGUGCUAGGGCAGCUUCUUUCUACAAAUAAUAUUGCAGUCCUUGCUUGUUUGCUUUAAUAACGAAACUAUUGAUUAUUCUACUUGUAUCUUCAUUUGCUUGGACCGAACUUUCUAACGCGCAGAACAGAACGAAACUCUCCCUCUAGUCCUUUAAUAAGCAGGGUUCCUCACUCAAUUCCACAAGUCAAGUGGAGCCGAUUCUUUCUGUACCAACUUCAGAAAUGCGAGAAAUAAGGAAGUGUGAGGGUAGGGCUCUCCCUUAUAGUGCUUUUCUUUACCUUAUAGUGCUUUUCUUUGCCUUGUAGUGGUUGGCGCAGGAUAAGAAGCAUCUCGGGAGUCAAGUAAAUACCUCUCCUAUUCCUAUUCCCGCUCUAGUCAGAGUAAUAAGGUCCCAACUCAGAGUGUUCUUUUUGAUGAUAUCGAAGCGUAUCCAGCUCCGUUCUAGUAUAGGAAAGAGAGAUCGAGAUGUUAGAUUCCGGGCGAAGGUGCGAAGCCAGAUCCUCUCGAUUUGGAGAAGAAUUCAUUCCUAUACGGAAAGUGCUAAUGAAUGCGGAAGGAAGUAUUUCUGAUAAGUGCAGCUGCAAGCGGGUAUGUUUCUGAAGUGGAGUCUCCUUCUGGUCAAGUAGAAAGAUAAUCAUGGAAUUGAGUUGAGGCGCUGGUUGGUUACCCACUUCUUCUAUCAUGCCUAGCUCCAUCCUCUGAUUCUGGUCUGGUUCCGAGAAGUUAGUUGAAUUCUGUUAGAGGAAUGAGGGAGAUCCGAUAGAACUGGGGCAGCAUACUGAACUCCUUCUUGCUUAGCUCUUUCUUCCCAUUCCCACUCCGAUGCUCAGAUCAAGGGUAUAAAUUCUCCGACGUCUAUAAGAUCUAGUGCACAUUCCCACUCCGAUCAUAAGAUAUAGUAUUGGUAUUAAUUCUCAGAUGCUCUAGUCCAGAGUAGAGGUUGAGUAGCCAGCUGCUGUUCUUGUUGAAGACCGAGUUGAGUCUGGUUAGAAGUAAGAGAAAGAGAUAUAUUGAAUUAAUCCCUCCUUACCGUAGAAAGAGAUAUAUUGAAUUAAUCCCUCCUUAUCCUUAUAGACUAUCAAUGUGAUAUGAUUGAAGCAAGUAAAAUGCCAAUCUCUAAAGAAUAUUCUCAGUGAAGUCAAAUACGAUUUUACAGUAUGUCAUUCUAUCUGGUAAUGAUUGGAUUCGGUUCCACACCUUUGCCCACUAGGAGAUUAUAGGCGCAGCUUCCAGCCUUACCAGUGAAAGUCCCGCCUAAGCGCGCACUCGUCCGACCAAUUGAGUUUACCUAGCAUACGUAUGUUGAACAUAAGAAGUGGAACAUAAGAAUGAAUUGAUCCUGCAAUGGCAGCGAAGUAGCAUCAGUAUCUAGUUACAGGGCGUCCUACUUUACUUGAGGUGGAUAGCUUAACGGAACUCAAAUGUCAAGUAGAAACUUUAGACGCAUAUAUAUAUAUGAUACUCUAAGUCUGGAAUGCAAACCGGGAGAGCAUCAGUGGAUUUCAUCUUCUAUACUUCAAUUUAGUCUUCAUAUACCUUUAGGGAACAUCAAUUCUAUACUUCAAUUUAGUCUUCAUAUACCUUUAGGGAACAUCAAGAAGAAGAGACUAUCAAUUAUCCACCAACCCAACUCCUGCCAAAGACUCAACCAGUGCAAACAAACUGCGGGCAUGCAUUAAUGGAAGAACUGAUCUCAUCCCCAGAAGCAAUUAAGGCCAAUCAAAGAGAGAAAUUGUUGAUACAGCCGCCCACUAAGCACUAAGAUGCACCGCCCACAGAAAGUUUUAGACGAACAACGAGCUAUCGCAAAGUCUCCCACCACAACCACGGAGGAAGAACCGAAGUAUGCCGCUUUUACCGAGCUCGAACCUUACCCAUGAAGACAACUAUCUUUAUCGACCUAAGAUCCAUCCGAUCAGUUUCAGUCUAAUAUAUGGAAUAGAAACAUCCUUGGGCUAUGAGAAUCACUACUGGCGGAGUAGGGCAAGUAAGUGGCAAAGCUACCCGAGUGGCAAAGCGACCCUGGUUGCCUAGCCUAAGCAUAAACAAAAGAAUAGUGUAGAACAAUAAGCUAAUUUCGCUCAUCGCUCCAUCUUUUCACUGUAGCUACAAAGUGUUCUUUGAUCGGAAUCCUAUGAAUCGUUACCUAUUGCAGUUCUCUUUUCCUUAUCUAUUGCAGUUCUCUUUUCCUCAUGUCCUUUUAUUUCAUUCCUUUAUUUCCUUAUAUUCCAGAAAUGCCAUACUUAGAAGGGUAACGAGUUCGUCUUGCAACCGGAUGUUGGCCGGAGUCUUGUAACUUAGCCUAUUUCGAUCGCCGGGCAGACUGUUGAAACUGCUUCUGUACGUCGAGUGCGGAUAUAGGAAGGAGUGGUUACCGCCUAUUCGUUAACUCGGCUGCUAUGCUUGACCGACGCUGGCUCCAUACUCCGAAAAAGGCAAGGAUAGACUCAGAUACGAAAGAAAGAAUCAAGAAAAAUCCACUAUCGACUUCUUCCACUUUGAUUUGACAAUCUAUAUUGCCCGGAGGUGGUGAAUCAGAGGGAGAGAUAGCCCUCUUAGAAGAUAACGCUUGUUUAAGCCCGUGUUAAAGGGAGGCUCCGCAAGACCAGUAGCUUUCCCUCUACUUAAGUGUCUAAGACCUUUUCCUUCUCUCUCUCUUUCCUAGCUAACUCUUUCCUUCUCUCUCUCUUUCCUAGCUAACUCUUUCCUAGCUAACCUAGAGAAAAGCCUAUUUUCCUUCUCUCUCUCUUUCCUAGCUAACCUAGAGAAAAGCCUAAAAGAUUCUAUCAAGCCUAUACGAGUCUACCUCCGGAAACUAAGGAUUCCCCAUCCAAAAAAGAAGAAGCGAAAUCCUGACCUUGAACCUAACCCUUCCGGUGUCUUAUAGCCUAACACUCUAGCUUAUCACUCUAGCUCUACCAAGAGAGAAAACUAUAGCUGAUACAGUACUAUUACUACUACUCUAUAGAUGGCAACUCGAGAC
rnacentral:lncRNA from 1 species